GCAAAAGCUACUAAGUACAAUGCAGCUGCAUUUAUGCCUUUUGGAUUGGGAUCUCGAUCUUGCGUUGGCAUGAGCUUUGCAAUCACUGAAGCGAAAACUGCACUUUCCAUGAUUCUGCAACGCUACACUGUCACCGUCUCCCCUACCUACGUUCACGCUCCUGUACCAAGUCUUACACUCAAGCCACAACAUGGGAUGCAGUUGUUGUUUCAUUCACUACAUUAUGAUGCUUAAAAUUCUAGGCUGUUGGUCUCCAAUAUAGUAAUAUAUAAUAAAAUGUGGAUGAUACUGUAUUUUGCAACCAUACGAUGAUAUAUGGUUUGGGGAUUUCAUGUUUUGGCAACAGGAUUAUAUGCUUUUUUUUUUUUUUGUUGAUAUUGUUAAAGGUUAAAAGGGUAUUACAGCAAACAUCGCCACCGCAGGAGCAGGCCCUACAGUCCUGUGAAUAACAUAAUUAGGUGUCUUUCUUCCAUUACUACUGCAGUAGUGAGGUUUUUAUUCCACUUAGUUCCAUUCUUCCGGAGUGUCUGCUUGAAACACACACUCCUGGAGCCGGCCAUUACAUUGCUUGUUUAGCUUUCAUGGAAGGCUCGAAGCUCAUUAGACCAGAAACAUUGUUCCUUUGCCUAUGUAUCUUUUUGACAUAUUCUCUUAAGGAAGAGCUACUUAUAUCAAGGCUCCAUCUUUCUGAGUUGCAAGGCAAAAGUCCGUUCUCCAUGAAAAACCUACCCAUUUCCACUAAGUCCCCGUUCUCCUUUGCUUCUCAGAUGACUUUUGCAAUAAAAAGUCCUUUUCCCUUAAAAGCAAUGGAGAAUAGACACCAUUUUAGAAUAAUUUUUAGCUUAAAAAAAGUAUUUUUUGGUAGAUGGAGAAGUUGAAAAUUUUAACUUUUCUUCAGCCAAAAGUGAUUUUGGGUGAUAAUUUCCUUUUUUAACCUAUCUUCUCCCAAAAAAGUUUUUUUCUCUGGUUCUUUGGAGCUAAACCUAUACCCAUUUUUUUCACAUUUUCUCUUUCAAAGUUCUUUCUUCUGGUUCUUUAUUCCUCUUCUGCCGGUGAGUUUCUUUUCUUCUUCUUCUUCUCUUUAAUUAUUCAUUAUACUUUAGUUUUUAGUUGUUUUCUGAUUGUUUGAUUUUUAUAGAAAUUUUACAGAAAUUAAUUGACUGAUUUUACAGAAAUUCUAUCUCCUUAAAAUCAUUUUAGAAAGUUUCAGAAGAUUACAGGAAACAAAGAAGCAAAAGAAACACAAAGCAAAAUAUUAUUAUUAGUAAUGCAUGCGAUUAGAAUCAUGAAAAGUAACUCUUCCAAAAGAAAAAAAAAGAGGGAAAAUUCUGGCUUAGUUGUAUGGUCAAAGCAAAAAAAAAAAAAAAAAUCCCCCAAAACUUCAAAGGAGUGUCAAACAUGAACUCUGAGAUGUGUAGGCCCUACCAUUUAAAAGUUCAAACAGGAAUCUUUGUUGACUUGGUUGGGACUUAAACAAACUAAAAGAUUCAAGUUAUGUUGCUUACAUUGAUUCUUUGAGUCAUUGUAAGCAUGGAGAUAAUCACUGAUCAAAUAAGGAGGCAUAAAUAGCACUUACGGUGUCAUUGUUGCCUCUUUUGCUUUACUGCUUUGCUCUGUUUUGUGCCUCUGCUGCUUUGCUCUGCUUUGCUUUACUGAUUGUUAGAUACCCAGGAGUGUUUAGAGUUAAACCUACAGGCCCAAACUAUUUUAGUUGAUGAAAAUAAAAGAAAUAUAGACUAAAUAUUUGAAUAUUUAAUAGAUUAAAUACUGAUUGUUUUACUGAUUAAAUACUAUUUUAGAGUUUACUGAUUACUUUACUGAUUGCUAGAUCCCCAAGAGUGCAUAUCAAUUUGGUUGCCGAUACAUAUUACGCUCUAUUCACUUCUAUAUGAUAGAUUGAAUAUUUAAAGGAGAGAAUAAUACUAAACUUAACUAUAGACUUUAAGUGCAUAUUGAGAGGAGACUGCUAUAAACAUGCAUUAGAGGUUGAUUAGAAAAAUAGAGCAAUUUUGAGUAAUGGAGAUCUAAGUCACAUAGAGAAUUCAAUUAAUAAUAGAUGAAGAGAGUUAUGGACCUGCUAAACUGUUAGGAUUGUCUUCAGAUCACUGAACCACCAAGCAAUUCUUAUUGAUCUUAUACCUGAAAAGACAUUAAUGAGUUCCAACCUGUCUCUACAGGCACAAGUAUGAACAAAUACAAAAAAAAAAAGGAAAAAAAAAAGGAAUUUUAAUUUAUACCAAUGCAUGCUGGGAAAUAUAUGCCUUCAUUCAAUAUAAGAGCUAAUAUACACAACCACUGCCUACAACUAUAUGCAUGGUCAAGCAAAUACUUUAUCAGUAUACAUACAUAGGCCCUAACAAUUUGAAGGCCAUACAUGCUAUAACCCACAUGCAGAGUGUUGUUCAUCACAAAAAGGAAUGCAAAUAGUAAAGUUUAAUACCAAUUUUUAACCCUUUGAAAUGUCGGUAACAUAUCAACAAAAGUGAACCUUCAACAAAAAAGAUGCCACUAACCUCUCCACAAAAUAGGAUGCAAUAGAACCAGUAACAGCAUGUGCAGGAGCUAGCUUUCCAAGCUUUUCCUCCAAACCUGGAGUUGUAGCCUGUAAUAGAAUUAAAGUUCAACAAUACCAUUAUUCAUUGAUUAACAUCGAAAAUAACAACCUUAACAUAAGAAAAAUCAAUGAAAAAAUUCAAAGAUUGAUAAAUAAACUACAAACCUCCACUGCAGCUUUAGACCAAGCCCUUUGCUUUAUAUCCAUCAAGUUCAUCCCUACACCAUCAGUUGUAUCAAUACAAGCAUAAGCCCCUAAGAAUAGACAUGCCAUGAAAGAGCUAACAAGAGAGAUCCUCUCAGUGUCCUCAUAAGUUUCUUGUUGUGUCUCAAAUAUCUUCCGAAUUUGUGGUCCUGUAUAUCUCUCAUAAGCAUGAGAACCAGUAAUUUUAGACAACUCCAAUGCACCACUGACAGCUUUCUUUAUUUCUAUACACUGAGCAGUUGUGCUGCAGUCCAUCCAUAUCGGUGAUUCCUUCGGUUGCUUAUAGGCUUUAUAGGCUUACAAGAGUUAGUGUCUUAUAUGCUUAUUGUUGUCUUAACAUACCAAGGAGUUACUCUUCCUACAUUAAAAUGCCUGUAAAUCACAAGGAAAUGUUGUUGAUUGAUAAGUCAUUCAUUAUGCCUCUCGUUUGUUGUUACACUGCUAAUUUUUUAUGCUUUUGUUUUCUGUAAUGUGUAAGCUAUUAAAACUACAAUAAUAACGAACGCAAAAUGAUUGAAUGAAAUACUGUAAAUCACAGUAUGCUUUUUUUUUAUGCUUUAUCCUUAAGUUGUUUCCAUGCACUGCCCUGCUUUGUUUCCUUUCUACCAAUUGAUUUCAUGACAUAAAUGUACUAUAAAAAUUAGUAUAUAUGAGUGAACUCAUUUGAUUUAUUUAUUUGACGUUUCCAAUUUUCCAUAAAUAUCAGUAGUUGCAUUUGUCUCCAAGUACACUUUAGGUUUUUUCAAUUAUAAAUUCUUUAUUCUAUGGAUGAGAAUGGAUUUUUGAGUGAAUUUAUUGAUAAAAUCAGUAGUUAGUACAAUAUCUUUUGUAAAUGAUUGAUUUGGUUUAAUUUAUUUCCCCUUGACCUUUUUGUGAUUCAAGUGAUAGCUUUGCUCCUGCAGUUCUGUCUUUGGUUCUAAGGUUUCAUUUGUGAAUGUUAUUUGAAUCAAUUUAAUAUAGUAGUAUGGUAUUUUUGUGUUCUGUUGCAGGUUCUUUUCACCUACAAUAAACUACUUGACUUCAAAAGGGCACAAUCUUUACCUACCCUUGGUUCUUGGACUUGACAAAGUAAAUCCCAGGUUUGUGAGCUUAUUACGUUUCUUUCAUUGCUUCUGCCUUGGAUUCUGAAUAGUUGGAUAUAGUUAAUAUUUUGAUACACAUGUAAACAAAUAUACUUAUGUGACAUUUGAUUUUCUUGACUGCUUAACUGGCUGAAACGGAUCUAUUCGUAUACACAAUAGAUGAGUACUUCGGCAGUUGAAGUUAGUGGUGAAAAAGUAAAAGCAAUGUGGGAUAAGAGAUUGACAGAAAUAUUUUGUGAUAUUUGUAUUAAAGAGAUACUAAAAGACAAUAGGCCUGGUACUCAUUUCACAAAAGAUGGAUGGUUGAAAAUAAUGACCAACUUUGAGAAAGAAACGGGCAAGUGUUUUUCACAAAGACAACUUAAAAAUAGGUGAGAUGCCCUAAAAAAAGAAUGGAAAGCUUGGAAGAAACUUAAAGGCGACGAUAAUGGUCUAGGGUGGAAUCCUAUAAAAAGAACCGUUGAUGCAUAAGAUGAUUGGUGGGAGAGUAGGAUACAAGUACAUUGAUAAUUCUAAAUAUUUUUUGUUUUUUUUUCUUAUUUAUGAGGUUAUUGAUAAUUACUGUUAUUAAACUAUCAUUUUAUAUGUAGGUUGUGCCUGAAGCUCAAAAAUUUAGAACAUCGGGCAUUGAUCCUGAAUUCAAAGGGAAGUUGGACCAAAUGUUAAUGGGGAUAGUUGCAACAUGUGGUAAAGCAUGGGCACCAGGUGAUAAAGUAUGGGCACCUUCUUCUGGUACACUCCGUAGUGAUUUUUUUGAGGAUGUUAACAACGAAAUACCUAAAGAGAAUGAAGAAGAAAAUAUCAGAAAUGAUGUUCACAUUUUAAAUGAUGUUCACAUUUCAAAUGAUGUUCAAUUUGAUGGAAACGAUCAAAAAAGAAAAAAUCCUGAGAUAUCAAUGUUGACACCAUUUUUUUGAUAAAACGGGAUCGACUUAGGUUUUAGAAACGAAAACGAAAACGGAAGUCUCCACCAAUCCUUUUUGAUGAGGUGUGAUCGGGUCACCUCGUAAAGUGGUUGUUUUUAAUAAACAAUUUGAUUUUUAUGAAAAACAACGAUUUUGGUCCACGAAAUUCAGAAAAAUGGGUUUGGGAGUCGAUUACGUACGAGGAAGGAUUAGCACCCUCGUAACGCCCAAAAUUGGUACCUAGUUGAUUAAUUAAUGUCUUAGUGUCGAAGAUUGAAAAUUUUAAAGAAAUUUAAAAUACGAUCUUUUAUUGAAAUGUUGAAAAUUUUCGGGAAAGGCAUAUUUCACGUUAAUCGAGAAAGAGAAUUAUAUCCAAUAAGUUAGGACAUAAUGUCUUGAAUUUCUGAUACGCGAAUGAAUACCAAAAAUCUGCUUAUUUAAAAGAUAUUUAGCUAUCUCGGUUUCAAAAAAGAGAUCAUGCCCAGUAAGUUAAGACAAGAUCUUUUCUUAAUUCCCGAGAUCAUUUAAAACUUUGUUUGAAAUGAUUCGCGUAUUUAGAUUUAUCGAGAAAAUUGAAACCCCGUAAGUUAGGGUAUAAUUUUUCGAAUAUCAAAAUACGAAAAAUAAUUUUUGAUAUAUCGAGUAAAGUAAAACACGAUGUCGUAAAAAAUGCGAAAACAAAUUAUAUAGGAUACGCAUACGAAACAAUAAUGAAUAUGAAAGUGUAACAUAAUACGAAUGAUAGUGACAAAAACAUGAUAAAAAGGACGAAUCAAUAGCAUGCCAAAUAACUAGUGUAUAAGCAAAAUAAAAGUGAAAUAUUUUUAAAAUAAUAAUGAAAGCGUGAAUAAAUAGAUAAUAAUUGAAUUAUAAUUAUAAAAAAAAAGCAAUAGGAUAUAUGUAUAUGUAUAUGUAUAUGUAUAUGUAUAUGUAUAUGUAUAUGUAUAUAAAGUAUAAGAUAUAAUAAGGAAUAUGCAAGCAUGUAUAUAUAUAUAUGAAAAUUAAAAAUAUGUAUAUAAAGAUAUAUAGAUAAAUAAGAUAUAAAGUAUAUAGAUGUGAAAAUGAAAAAAUACGUAUAUAAAGAUAUAUAUAUAUAUAUAUAUAUAUAGUAUAGAAUAUAAUAAGUAUAUANNNNNNNNNNNNNNNNNNNNNNNNNNNNNNNNNNNNNNNNNNNNNNNNNNNNNNNNNNNNNNNNNNNNNNNNNNNNNNNNNNNNNNNNNNNNNNNNNNNNCAAAAGUAAAGAAUAUUCAAUUGAAAACACAGUGAAAAGCGGAAGGAAUAGGGUAGCAAUUAUACCCUAGUCACAAAACACGCGGAUCCUUCAGGUAAUGGGUCGGGUCACGCGUGGGUCGCGCGAAACGGCGCCGUUUUGGCGCUGAGGCCCCCAUGUGAAACAACGACGUUUUUCAUUUGGUAUAAAUGUUUAAAAAAACCCUAAAAAAUUAGAUUCAUCCCCUUUUUUUAAAAAAAAAAAUCAGAGAGCCAAAGCUCUCUCUCAAACCCCAAAUCUGUCCACAGUUGCCGGCUGUCCGUCCAUCGGACUGGCGCCGUGGCCGGUGGCCGACGACGGACCAAAUGUGCUUUUGAGCCCCGUUUUCGACGAUUUGAAGGCCAAUCCUUCUCAACCAAGAAGAAAACCGAAAGAAAAGACCCUCACCCCCUUUUAAGGCCGAUUUUGACGACGGAGAGAGGAUCCCCGACAACGUGGCCGCGGGACAUCUCAGGUGAGCCUUUAUUUUUCCUUUUUAUCUUUGUAGGUAGAAAUAAAAAUAAAUAAACAAAAAAAAAGUCAAGAACAAAAUAAAUAGAAAUAACAACCGAAAAUCACCUUUGAAGUUUUGUUUUUUUUAUUUAUUUUCUAAUAUGUCUGUAGUAAAAAAAAUACAUUGACUUGGUGAUGGCUUUUUCUAGCCGAAAUUGAUACAACAUUUUUUCUUUGUUUGUUGCUUGCGUUUUUGUUCUUUUCUUGCAGGUGAUUGACGGGCGCAAGUGGCAGAGGCGAUGAAGUGACCGUGGCGGUGGCGGCAGGUCAAGUGUGAGAAGACCCUAGGUGCGGCGCACCUAGGGUUAGGGUUUCCAGACCCUUUUUCUUGCUUUGGGCCGUGGGAAAUUGUGUUGGGUUGUAUUUGGGUCCGUUUGGGUUAGGGGUAGAUUUGGGCUUACUUUUGGUUUGGGUUAUUUUGUGUUUUAUUUGUUUGUAAUGGCCCCGGGUGAAAUUGGGCUUCUACAGCUGCCCCUCUUUGCUCGUUGUCGUGUAACAAGAACAGAGCAAAGACUAAGAAAGACCAAUUUCGCCCGGUCUCGUUAAUGCUCUAGUGCUUCUCUUCUUCAAGUAGCCUCCUUCUAAUCCACUGUGUCUUGUUGCUUUGAUCUACUCCACUGCACUUCAGAGAGAUACGACUUGCAGCUUCAAUCCACUCUGCUGCAACUUCAGGGGGACGAGAUUCGUGGUUUUAGUCUGCCCUACUGCAACGUCAGGGAGAUAAGACUUGAUGUUUCAACCUGCUCCACUGUGACUCUAGGGAGAUAAGGUCUUAAUAUGAUAAGAUCCAUUAUCAACAGUCUGCUCCACUACGACUUUAGGGAGAUAAGACUUGUAGUCGGUCUUCAAUUUGCUCCACUACUUCUUCAUGGAAAUAAGACUUAUAUCUUCAACCUGCUCCACCGCAACUUCGGGGAGAUAAGGUUUGCUAUCUUCAGUCUGCUCCACUGUAACUUCAAGGAGAUAAGACUCGUAAUGUCAACCUGCCCAACUGCAACUUCAGGGAGAUGAAGUUUGAUAUGAUCUACUCUACUAUAACUUCAGAGAGAUACGAUCAGUAAUUUAUAACUUCAAUCUGUUCCACUGCAACUUUAGGGAGAUAAGAUUCGUAAUUUCAACCUGCCUCACUGCAACUUCAGGGAGAUGAUGUUUGAUAUGAUCUGCUGUACUAUAAUUUUAGAGAGAUAAGAUAUGUAGUUUAUAGCUUCAAUCUGUUCCACUGCAACUUCAGGGAAAUAAGACUCGCUAUCUUUAGUCUGUUCCACUGCAACUUCAGGAAGAUAAGACUCGUAAUUUCUAAUAAAGUCCGAUGUGAUCCGUUCUACUGCAACUUCAGAGAGAUAAGAUUCAUCAUUUUGACCCGCUCCACUGCAACUUCAGGGAGAUAGGACUUAUAUCUUCUACUUGCCCUACUGGAACUUUAGGGGGAUAAUGUUAGUAACUUCAACCUGCUCUACUGCAAUUUUAGAGAGAUAAGGUUUGUUAUUUCAAUCUACUCUACUGCAACUUCAGAGAGACAGGGUUUGUAAUUUAUAGCUUCCAUCUAUUUCACUACAACUUCAAUGGAAUAAGACUUGCUAUCUUCAGUCUACUCUACUGCAUCCUCAGCAAGAUAGAACUUGUGGCUCCAAUAAAGUCUGAUGCGAUCUGUUCUACUACAACUUCAGAGAGAUAAGAUCCAUCAUUUUAACCUGCUCCACUGCAACUUCAGGGAGAUAAGGUUUGUUAUCUUCAACCUACUCCGCUACUACUCAGGGAGAUAAGACUAGUGAUUUCGAUCUGCUUCACUGUCAGUACAGGAAGACAAGAUCUACAACCUUCGACCUACUUCACUGCUACUCAGGGAGAUAAGACUAGUGGCUUAAAUUUGCUUCCCUACUACCUUGGGAAGAUAAGAUUCGCCGUCUUCGAUCUGCUCCACUACUGCUUAGGGAGAUAGGAUCUGUAAUUUUCAACCUACUCUGCUACUGCUUAGGGAGAUAAGGCUAGUGCUUUCGAUCUGCUUCACUGCCAGUACAGAAAGACGAGAUCUGCUACUCUUAGUCUACUCCGCUGCAAACUCAGAGAGGUCAGGCUUGUGUCUUCGAUCUGCUUCACUGCCAGUACAGGAAGACGAGAUCUGCUGCUUUUAGUCUGCUCCGCUGCAAACUCAGGAAGGUUAGGCUUGUGUCUUCAAUCUGCUUCGCUGCCAGUACAGGAAGAUGAGAUCUACUGCUUUUAGUUUGUUCUGCUGCAAACUCAGGGAGGUCAGGCUUGUGUUUUCGAUCUGCUUCGCUGUCGGUACAGAAAGACGAGAUCUGCUGCUUUUAGUCCAUUCCUCUGUAAUUUCUGAGAGAUAGGACUUGAUAUGACGACUUCAAUUCAUCUCACUGCAACUUCAGGGGUAUGGGAAACUUCAUUAAUAUGUUCUUUGGGGAACAUGACCUGUAAAGUCCAUUUUAUAAACCUAUUUAUGCCUAAUGAUUAGGAUGUUAUGAUCAGAACGAAUCAGAUUCUCCUAACUAGGUGUGUGUGAAUUAUAUUUGCAUGAAUGCAGAAUGUUAUGAGAAUGAUCCCUUUUUUAAUGUUAGGGUUGUCAUUGCUCGUUAUUCAUUAAGGCUCCAUUACCAACACGUCAGAAUGCCAUCUUGUUUGGCUGGUAGCACUCAUCUCUUACUUAAACGGAUUGCCCCCACUAUAAUCUUCAAAGUUCAAUCUGUUGUAAUCUUCAAGGCUAAGUCCACGGUAAUUUUUGGACAUAAAAUUUGAGCCAUCUUCCUUCCACUGAGUAAAAGAUCUGGCUCUUUCUCAAUCCUCUCCCACUGUAAUUCAGGGAUACAGGAUCUGAAUCUCUUUGGUCUCUUACACCAUUCUUAGGGUGUCGUACCAAAUAUUUAUGCACAAUUGUAGAACUUUCUCUUCUAAUAAACCUCUUUUUAUCACUCUGUGAUCAUUACUCAUUUGUUCAUUGAAGUUUUGUCACCAGCACGACAUUUUUCGUUUUGUUCAAUCUAUGCUUAGACAACAAAAUCCGAAGGGAUAGUCUUAAUUUAGACUUUUCCUUCUUAGACAUUUCACCCUUUAAACUUGGUGUACUCUAAACAAUAGUCAUGUUUCAGGUUCCUGUAUUGUUUAGAAGCUUUCAGAGUAAUAUGCAAAACUUCUUUUGCUUGAAUAUUAACAGCCCAUUAAUCUUUAUUUCAAUGGAAAAUGCUUGAAAAGAUUAUCACAAUGGGAAAGAUGAAAUUUUAUUGAGAGUAGAGCUCUAAACAAAUAAAUUAAUCAGGAUAGAAAAUUUUGCUAAGAUUCAAAAUGAAUAAGAUGAAAAGGAUUAUUACAAUGGAUAAGAUGGAAUUUUAUUGAGAACAAAGCUCGAAAUAAAUAAAUAAUCAAGAUAGCAAAUUUUUCUAAGAUACGAAAUGAAUAAGAUGAAAACAGGUGCCCCAGAUAUCACAGUAUGAGCUUUUCUGCAUAAGCUUCUUGAGGACCAUUUUGAACUUGAUAUGUGUCUAGAAGUCCUAAAAGACUUUGUUGAUGUCCCAAGAUGUAGCGUCUCACCUUCUUGCUAAUUUAGAGAGGACAAGGCCACCGCAUGUCCCACCUUUGAUCAAAAUUUAAACUGCCCAUUCCUGGGUUUUCAAUUCAAAACCCCUUUGGUCUCAAGGUGCCCUUUGUGGGUUUUCACCUUGGCCUCUCAUUCUUCUUUUCUUUUCUUUUUCCUUUCUUUUUUCUUUUCUUUUUUUUAACAUUCUUUGAUUGAAUUCGCCCUCGUAGGAUCAGGUAAGUCAUUGCUAUCCUUUCUAGUCGAAAUCAACACUUCUCCAGAUAAAGCCUUCAACAUAAGGUUCUUUUCAGUUUGAUAUCCUCUUUCUUCUAAAGUUCUUUUUGUAUGGAGAGGAUUUUCUUCGAUAUUAGGUCUCCUUCAUAGAAUUCUCUAGGGCGAACCUUCUUUGGUGAGCUCACGUCUUUUUUUUGUGGAUUUGACCAAGAUAGAUAACUUUGAACACUUCUCUUCAAUCGAGAUCUGAUCCAACACUCGAAGAGAAGGAAUCUUGACCUCAAUGAGCAAAACUACGAUGAGCCAAUGUGUUGCCCCGGCAGUAGUUUUUCCUCUCAUUUUUGUUUUGUUUUGUUUUUUAUUUUUGUUUUUUUUACUCCCACUGCGCCGUGCAUUUUGGGGCAAAAUGUGUUAAUCUUGAACAGACUGUAAACUUAUGACAUUGUGCUGUUGUUCAAUUUUAGUGCAUUGUUAGAUGUGCUUCUUUUUGGCAUUUCAAAUUGACACGUGAUUUUUCAAAAAUUCGCAGACUGUUGACCUUGCGACAUUGGCAUAUGAAGCAGCUUUUGCCUACUUAGUGAGGUAAUUGAUGACCAAAAAGAUAACCGUCAAAAACCUUAGGUAAGAUCAGCCUUAUGACAUUUGUGUCCCACGUAGAGAAAGGGCAUGGCUUCUAUUGAUUCUGUGUAAAAUAGAAUCUUGUUAUCUCGUUUUUAACAAAUCAGGAGAUAAGUUACAAUCUCAGUUAUCUCCAAAGGCUUGAGGUUUAAUCUGGACACAUAUCUUGCUCAAAAGGAGGUUCUGAAUCAAUAGUAGUGUUGCUCAUAUCAUUGAUAUUUAGAGACCUGUUAUAGGACGAAAGUAGAUCCAAAGAAUAAAAGAAUCUAAAAAUAUUUAUCUGUAUCGUAUGAUUAUGAAAUGGAAAAAAUAAAAGAAUAUUUGCCCGAAGUGAGAAACAAAGAUGCAUUUUAUUGAAAUAAAGAUGUUGGACAUAAGCCUAUCUCACAAAAGGAUUCUUAUUACCCCUAGGCUUAGAGAAAUAAGUGUGUUUUGGACAUUACUCCGAAUUAGGUCUAAAAUAUACAGGGAUCUCUUUCACAGUCCCACUAUUCAAAACACUUCCAAGUCUGUUCUUUUCACCAACCCCCUUCUUGGAUAUGAUGUUAAUGCUUUGAUAGCCGGCGAUUAUGACCCUCGGUUGGCCCACAGUGACCAAUUUGGGAUAUCUUUCAUUAUAUAUACUCAAGUUGCUUACUUCAUUUUCUUUGUUCUUUAGGGUUGAUCCUCUGACGCUUUCUCCCGUAUCUAUCUUCCCACUUCUUAUGGCAUUUUCACUCAUCUUGCCAGACAUUACCAUAUCUGAUAAGCUCAUGGUAGCGCUUCCCAACAUGUGGUUAAUGAAUGGGGCUUUCAAAGUGUUGACGAAAAGCAUCGUGGUUUCUUUUUCUAGAAAAGGUGGUUGGACUUAUGUCGCUACCUCUCUCCAUCUUUGGGCAUAUUGCCUGAAGCUCUCACUUUGCUUCUUUUCCAAGUUCUGUAGUGUAAUUCUGUCAGGUGCCAUGUCUGUCACGUAACCAUACUGCUUCAUGAAAGCUCGUGCCAAGUCUUUCCAUGAGUGGAUAUUGGCACGGCUCAACUGGUUGUACCAUUUUACAGCUGACCCGAUCAGACUAUCUUGGAAGUAAUGAAUUAACAGUUGAUCGUUAUCAAUGUAUCCUAUCAUUUUUCGACAGAACAUCGUGAUGUGAGCUUCGAGACAACUGGUCCCAUUAUACUUUUCAAAUUCUAAAGUCUUGAAUUUCGGUGGGAGUACUAAAUCUGGGACCAAACUUAAAUCCUUGGCAUCAACCCCGCAAUGGUAAUCAACAUUCUCCAUUGCUUUUAGUUUUUCUUCCAACCACCUAUACCGAUCUUCGAGUUGCUUUGGUAGUUCUACCCUUACUUCUGCCAUUUCGUCUAACUCAGGAAUAACAAGAUUGGUUGGAUCAUUCUUUGGAUUAGAACCUGAGCCUGUCGGAUAGUUCAUUAGCGCCGAGGUACCGGCCUGAUAUCGUUGGGGUCUGUUAGUAGUGGGUGCCCCUUGUAGAUGCGCGUCGGGUUGGGCCUGGACGCCUAUUGGGGUGAAACCUGGGAGAUAGGCAGGGUCUUCAUAUUUAUCCCCAGAAUUGGCUACAGGGUUUUUCUUUUUAUCUCUAGCUGAGAGCUGUGCUAAUUGGCUCAUCAAGCUCCUUUGGGAUUUUUGCAUGUCUUGUUGGAUAUUUUCUAGUUGUUCUUGCAUCUGGGCUUGCACCUGUUCUUACAAUUGCUCUAAUCUCUCUAGUCUCUGAUCUAUUCCUUUAGUUUUUGCUCAGAUACUGUAAGGGUGUUGGUUUUCCAGAUUAGCUGAAAUAAUUUUACUCAAUUAGGGUCUUUUAAUGGUCCUUAAUGCACAUGAUGCCAUGUAAUGCGAAUGCAUGAAUGCAAAAAAGACGUUGACUCUGAUUUAAUUCUAUUUAAAAAACUUUACUAAAAAACAAAUUCCUUUACAUAAAGCGAAUGCAUGUAUGGCCUCGCCCUCAUAUUCCAAGAAACAACAUUGGUCUUCUUCUUUAUCUGAAUGUUUAAGAUAAAUAUUGCAAAUUUCCAAUGGAUGCCACUACUAACUCCUUCUUGCUUGAUUCUGGUUGUGAUCCAUCGUCUGCCCAUCCUCGUAAUGCUCAUCAGCUUCUUUAAGGAAGUCAGAAUGUCGGUGACUCUCAAAUAAUUAGCUUGAAUUUUUGGGCCACGAAGUAAAAUGAUGUACUCUUCCAUCACCUUUCUUUUGUCGUGUUUCUUGGAAUGUAUUCGGGCAGCCAUAUUAUCUUCCGCUUUAUCAAGAAAUCCGUUUUCCAUGACAAACUUUCUAAUUUAGUAAUCAAACUUGAAUCAACACCUUUUUCUAAGAUGAAAAUGCAAUGCAAUCAUAACCAAAACAAAACGAAACAGGUUAGUACAAAGCAAAAGCAAACAAGAAAGAUAGAGUACCUAUUCGGGUAUCCACUAAAGGUUUGGAGUGGCUCUACCUAGGUAGAUUCUUAUGGCUCACUACAUGUGGUUCGAUUCUAAAGUAAAGGUACCUGAACCAACAGAUUCCUCAAUCCUCACCUAUUAUAGGCUCAUACGGACUGAGUUCAGUUCAGGGGAAUACAUUUCCCUAUGGCCAUGUGGAGAUGAAAAUCUCACGAAGACAUAGGUACAGAUGUAUCCCGGAAGCGAUUCACUAUCCCAUGCGAAGGUGAAAACCUCACGAAGGCGUAGUUUCUCACUCCCACUUAAAAGGGUGUGACCAACGGUCAUGCAAUGCAAUGUGCAGAAAUAUAUAUCUAAACUCAAAAUAACACAGUAUUUAUAAAACCACAAUGAUGAAGAUCGUAAUAAAGAUGAAUGAAAUACAAUGAAAGGAUAGUAAAUUUAAAUCAAAUUCAAUUUUUGACAAAAAGACAGAAAGUAAUCAACACGUGGCUUGACUCUCUUAUUUUGGAUCCCCAGUGGAGUCGCCAAGCUGUUGACACCAUUUUUUUGAUAAAACGGGGUCGACUUGGGUUUUAGAAACAAAAACGGGAGUCGCCACCAAUCCUUUUUGAUGAGGUGUGAUCGGGUCACCUCGUAAAGUGGUUGUUUUUAAUAAAUAAUUUGAUUUUUAUGAAAACAAUGAUUUUGGUCCACGAAAUUCAGAAAAAUGGGUUCGGGAGUCGAUUACGUCGAGGAAGGAUUAGCACCCUCGUAACGCCCAAAAUUGGUACCUAGUUGAUUAAUUAAUGUCUUAGUGUCGAAGAUUGAAAAUUUUAAAGAAAUUUAAAAUACGAUCUUUUAUUGAAAUGUUGAAAAUUUUCGGGAAAGGCAUAUUUCACGUUGAUCGAGAAAGAGAAUUAUAUCCAAUAAGUUAGGACACAAUGUCUUGAAUUUCUGAUACGUGAAUGAAUACCAAAAAUUUGCUUAUUUAAAAGAUAUUUAGCUAUCUCGGUUUUAAAAAAGAGAUCAUGCCCAGUAAGUUAAGACACGAUCUUUUCUUAAUUCCCGAGAUCAUUUAAAAAUUUGUUUGAAAUGAUUCGCGUAUUUAGAUUUAUCGAGAAAAUUGAAACCCCGUAAGUUAGGGUACGAUUUUUCGAAUAUCAAAAUACAAAAAAAAAAUUUUGAUAUAUCGAGUAAAGUAAAACACGAUGUCGUAAAAAAUGCGAAAACAAAUUAUAUAGGAUACGCAUACGAAACAAUAAUAAAUACGAAAGUGUAACAUAAUACGAAUGAUAGUGACAAAAACAGGAUAAAAAAGGACGAAUCAAUAGCAUGCCAAAUAACGAGUGUAUAAGCAAAAUAAAAGUGAAACAUUUUUAAAAUAAUAAUGAAAGCGUGAAUAAAUAGAUAAUAAUUGAAUUAUAAUUAUAAAAAAAGCAAUAGGAUAUAUGUAUAUGUAUAUAAAGUAUAAGAUAUAAUAAGGAAUAUGCAAGCAUGUAUAUAUAUAUAUAUAUAUAUGAAAAUUAAAAAUAUGUAUAUAAAGAUAUAUAGAUAAAUAAGAUAUAAAGUAUAUAGAUGUGAAAAUGAAAAAAUACGUACAUAAAGAUAUAUAUAUAUAUAUGAUAAGAUAUAAAGUAUAUAUAUAUAAAAAAAAUUAUAGACGUAUAUAUAUAUAUUAUAAAAAUGUAUGAUGGAUAUGGAUAUAUAUGUAUGUAUAACAAAACGUAUGUGUGUGUAUAUAUAUAUAGAUAACAAAAAUUUGAAAUUAAAAGGACAUAGUUGAGUAAAUAGUAAUAAUAAUAUUUAUAAUAAUAUAAUAUAAUAGUAAUAAUAAUAUGUAAAAUGAUCAAUUUAACAAUAAAUAACUAAAAUACCAAAUAAAGGGCUAGAUUAAAAACUAGGCUAGAAUAUGGGGUCAAAUCGCUAAUAAAAUAAAAGAGGGGACCUUCAUGAACGCGCACAUAACAUGGAGGGACUAAAAUGGAAAUUUUUCCUUCUCCUCCAAAACGCAUCGUUCCGGGAGGGACCGAAUUAAAAACGCAAAGAAAAAUGGGGUAAAAUUGCAAAAGUAAAGAAUAUUCAAUUGAAAACACAGAGAAAAGCAGAAGGACUAGGGUAGCAAUUAUACCCUAGUCACAAAACACACGGAUCCUCCAAGUAAUGGGUCGGGUCACACCCGGGUCGCGCGAAACGGCGCCGUUUUGGCGCUGAGGCCCCCAUGUGAAACAACGACGUUUUUCAUUUGGUAUAAAUGUUUAAAAAAACCCUAAAAAAUUAGAUUCAUCCCCCUUUUUUUAAAAAAAUUUCAAAGAGCCAAAGCUCUCUCUUAAACCCCAAAUCAGUCCAUGGUUGCCGGCCGUCCGUCCAUCGGACUGGCGCCGUGGCCGGUGGCCGAUGACGGACCAAAUGUGCUUUUGAGCCCCAUUUUCGACGAUUUGAAGGCCAAUCCUUCUCAACCAAGAAGAAAGCCGAAAGAAAAGACCCUCACCCACCUUUUAAGGCUGAUUUCGACGACGGAGAGAGAAUCUCCGACGACGUGGCCGCGGGACAUCUCAGGUGAGCCUUUCUUUUUCCUUUUUAUCUUUGUAGGUAGAAAUAAAAAUAAAUAAACAAAAAAAACUAAAGAACAAAAUAAAUAGAAAUAACAACCGAAAAUCACCUUUGAAGUUUUGUUUUUUUUUUUUUCUAAUAUGUCUAUAGUAAAAAAAAUACAUUGACUUGGUGAUGGCUUUUUCUAGCCGAAAUUGAUACAACAUUUUUUCUUUGUUUGCUGCUUGCGUUUUUGUUCUUUUCUUGCAGGUGAUUGACGGGCGCAAGUGGCAGAGACGGUGAAGUGACCGUGGCGGUGGCGGCAGGUCAAGGGUCAGAAGACCCUAGGUGCGGCGCACCUAGGGUUAGGGUUUCCAGACCCUUUUUCUUGCUUUGGGCCAUUUGGGCCGUGGGAAAUUGUGUUGGGUUGUAUUUGGGUCCGUUUGGGUUAGGGGUAGAUUUGGGCUUAUUUUAGGUUUGAGUUAUUUUGUGUUUUAUUUGUUUGUAAUGGGCCCGGGUGAAAUUGGGCUUCUACAAUCAAGUUCACAUUUUAAAACUAGAAGAAAGAAAUCCUCAAAGCACAUUAGAGGGGCUGCAAGAUUGUCCAGUCAAAUAGACAAAUUAUGCAAUGCAGCUGACAAUAUGAGUCAAGCCACAUCUAGUUUGACUCCUAUUAUGGAUCCAUAUGGUAUUCCACAAGCAGAUAAAAUGCUUGACAACAUGUCGAAAGAAGUUCCAAAAGCUAGUCCGCUAUACUUUUUCGCACUUAAAUUAUUGCUCAAGAAGGACAAGUGAAUUAUGUUUUUAUCAAUUAAUCCCAAGAUUAGAGCUUUGUGGCUUAAGACGGAAAUGGAGGAUAGUUGAAAAUUUUCUGAUCUUCUAGGGUUCAGAGAUAUCUAUUAUGUGACUAAACAACAAUGCUAAACUAGUUUUAUCAAUAGUUAUUUAUGUUUGGUUUUUGGAUAUUGAAUUUAUGUUCUACUUAUUUAUAUGUAAUCUAGUUUUAUCAAUGGUCGUUUAUGUUUGGUUUUUGGAUAUUGAAUUUAUGUUCUACUUAUUUAUGUAUAAUCUAGUUUUAUUAAUAGUUGUUUAUGUUUGGUCUUUGGAUAUUGAAUUUAUGUUCUACUUAUUUAUACUAAAUUAGUUUUAUCAAUAGUUGUUUAUAUAUGAUUUUGGAUAUAAAAUUUAUUCAUAGGUGAUAAGUAUAGUUAAGGAUUACAGCGGUGAUGAAAGUGAUGAUGAAAGGGAAAAGAAAGAGAUUUUACAACGCAUGGAAUGUUUUAACCAAUUAUUUGUUGUUGCAUCUUAUUCCUUGCAAUUAUAUUACGAGAAGUAUAUAUUGAGGCAACCAUGCAUGGAUUCUAAACAGUCAGGUGAGACAUGGAUCCGAGAGAUUCUUGACUGUCACAAAUCACGUUGUAUGAUUAAUUCACUACACCAAAACAGGAUUUUAGCGGCACUUUUAGUGGCGCUUGAACAAAAAAUGCUGGUAAAAAUCAAGCAUUAGCAGCGCUUUAUGGAAAUCGCCACUAAAAACCAAAGCCCAACGGUGUCGUUUUCUUACCUUUCGGGGCUUUAGCGGGUUUUUUGAAAAUGCGUCGCUAAUGCUCGGUGUUUUAGCGGCGUUUUUUAAAAGCGCCGCUAAUGCUAGGGCCUUUAGCGGCGUUUUUGAAAAAGCGCGGCUAAAAACAUUUUAUCUUAUUUGGUUUAUUUAUAUAAUUAAAUAAGAUUAAAUUUAAAUCUAAUUGAAUAUUUAAAAUCUUCAAAAAAAAUAAUGACACGUAGAAAUAAUUUGAAAUAAAAUAUCUGGAAAAAUUAAAAUACUAUUAUUUAAAAUAAUUUUAAAUUUUUUGGGUACAUGAUUACUGAUUUUUUUUAAUUUAUAUAUUAAAAAAUUUCUUAUAUAAUCGUAAAAGAGAUGGUAUUAAUUUUAAAAUAUUGAAUUAAUUAUCACUAUAGUUUAGGGUUUUUGGUUCAGGGUAUAUGAUUUAUUUAAAAUUUAAGGCCAGUUUAAAAGUUACUAUUUUAAGGUUUAGGGAGUAUGGAUUUAGGAAUUAUGGAUUAGGGAUUAUGGUUUAGGGGUUGGGGUUUAAGGUGUAGGGGUUAGGAAUUUAGAGGUUUAGGAGUUAGACGUUAGGGGUUGAGAGUUAAGGAUUCAAGGUUUAGGGAUUUAGGGGCCAAGUUAGGGGUUUGUGUUUAGAUUAAUUUUUUUAAUUUAUAUUUUAAAUAUGUUCUUAUAUAAUUGUAAAAGAGAUAAUAAAUUUGUUUAGGGUUUUUAGUUUAGGGUAUAUGAUUAAUUUAAGAUUUAAGGCCGGUUUAGGAGUUCAUAUUUUAAGGUUUAGGGAGUAUGAAUUUAGAGAUUAUGAAUUAGGGAUUAUGGUUUAAGGGUUUGGAUUUAAGGUUUAGGGGUUAGGGGUUUAAGGGUUAGACGUUAGGGGUUAAGAGUUAGGGAUUUAAGGUUUAGGGAUUCAAGGGUCGAGUUAAUGUUUUGGGUUUAGAUUAAUUUUUUUAAUUUAUAUUUUAAAUAUGUUAUUAUAUAAUUUUAAAAGAGAUAAUAAUAAAUUAAAUAUAUUGAAAUUAUGAGUGUAGUUUAAAUUAUUUAAGAGAUAUAUAAUAGAUAGAUUUUAUAUGUAUUGAAUGGUUAAUUUAGGGUUUAAGGUUAAUGUUUACUUGAGAUUUGUUAAAUGAUAAAAUUUUAUAUAAUUAAUUAAUACUUUUAUAUUUAAAAAAAUUUAAUUUAAACCAUUUGAUAUAUUUAAAUAUUAGUUUAAAUAGAAUUAAUAAAUAAAUUAAAAAAAUAAUAGAUUGAUAUGGAUAUUUAGGUACAAUUAUUUAUUUUGGAGAGGAUCAAAUUAUAAAAAAUAAAAUUAAAAUACAAAAAUAAAAUAAUUUUGUUCAAAAUGAAAAUUUUUUACACACUUUUUAUAAAAACACCGCAAAAAAUAAAUAAUAGCCCCAAAAUUUAACUUUAAAAAUGCUACAAAAAUUAUUUCACUUUAAAAAAUCGCGCCAUUUUACCCCAAAUUUCCCCCUGAAAUCCCUAAUCUUCCCAUGUCCGACAAUAUUUUCUCAGCUGCCACACUCCAACAAAUACUCUGCACUCCCAUGGCUGAAAUAACAACCCAAAACCUUUUUAUUACAGCGCCAACAAAGCUUUGCUCUUUAUCCAUCUAUCAAAGAACACACUACUCUGCAUCAUACACUGACGAAAAGAAAAAAUAUGGGUUUUGAGAAGGGAGCUUCAUUGUUGGAAGAUUUGGUAGAAAAAGCUGGAGGCUGUGCUGUGAUGGAUGGGGGUUUUGCUACUCAGCUUGAGAGUCAUGGUGCUUCCAUUAAUGACCCACUUUGGAGCGCUCUUUGCUUGAUCAAAGACCCUCACCUUAUCAAGCAGGUACCUUUCGGUCUUCUUUCUCAUUCAGCUUUGUUGGAAAAUAUGUACAUUGCUGUCCUGCAAAUGACUCCAUGUCAAAAACAGGGUAUAAAGUUUGAGACUUGGUUUUAGAUUUUGAAUCAACGUGGAGUGUUCAUAUGUGCAGGUUCAUUUGGAGCAUUUGGAGGCUGGUGCAGAUAUCUUAGUUACUUCAUCUUACUAGGUUUGUUUAUUAGUGUUUUUCAGAUUCAGCCGAAUGACUUGAUUUGUUAGGCUAAUGUGUGAUCUUCUGCCUUUCAUAUAUUCACAAUAUGGAUAUGGUGAAAAGGAUAGGAGCUAAAUGCUUCCUUUUUCUAUGCAAUAGGUCCACCACUUUCUUGUGAAAAGUCAUGGAAAAUAUUCUGAUUUUUCCCUAAGUUUGGCUUAUUAAUGAACCAGACGGAAAAUAAUGUAGUUAUCAUCUAUAUAUGUUCAUCUGCAAUGAUUGAUUCCUUGGAAACAAUCAACAUAUCUUUGUAGAAACUUGCCUACCUUCAUAUUAGGAAGAGUAAUUUAUUUGAGAUUGUAUGGUAAAUGAUAAACCCAAUUUUAAUUACAAUUAUUCACACAUUCCAGAUUUUUUAAUUGAUUUGAAUCGAGCAAUUAGACAUAAAAGAGUAAUAUGGAUUUAAAAAAGAAGAAGCAAAUAUUGCAAUGAUAGUGUUUUCAUAUUUAAUAUUAUUUAUAAUUUUUUAAAAUAAGUUAAUCCUAGAAUAAAACUAUAAACCUCAUGUAUAAUGGUACCUGAACCUAAAUCAUCAAAGACCCAAUCUUAAGCAGCAGCUCAAAACUCGACAGAGGCUAAGGAUGAUGCUGCCUCUGGAGAGGUUGCACAAGCUGAAUAAGGAUGGUGGAGUUAAUAAUGCCACAGGAGCAGCAGUUGGUAGAGGCUUUAUACGGGAUUCAUCGGGCUGCUGGGUUAUGGGGUACAGUUGGAGUAUUGGUUGCUGCUUGAUGUUGCUAGCUGAGCAUUGAGAGCUAUAUGACGGCUUGUCUGUGCCUUGAGAUGCGGGUAUUCGGUGCUGGUGGUGGAAUCUGAUAGUCGGGCUGCGGUGGACCUUGUCACGGAUGUUACCAGGAAGGAGAUGUUGGAGCUCGUAAUGGCUGUUCGUGGCCUUUUGUCUUAGUCGUGGUGGGUAUUGGUGCGUCAUGUUCUGCGAGGUGCAAAUGCGGCAGCGGAUUUUGUCACCAAGCUCGCUAGGGAUUGCCCAUUGGGUUUGCAGCUGGUUCGGCACCCUCCUCCAUUUGUCAAACUCAUGGUUGAAUGGGAAGAGUAGGCCACCUAUUGUCAAUGACUGUUAACUUUGGUUGGCUUUUAGCCUAGGUUCAUUUUUGUUUUCAAAAAAAAAAAAAUUCAAUCUCAAUUUUAUCAUUCAAUCAAAAUCUUUAUAUAUAUAUAUGUAUAUAUUUUAUAGAUAUUUUUUUUACAUAAACUUUUUUUUAUCUACGUUUGUGGAUAUACAACAAUAAAAACCUGAUACUUUUUGAGCAUGCUUGUUAAGAUUCCAAUUGUGUAAGGAACCGAGAAGGGCCAGUGCAAAGUACAGGUGAAAGGAUUUCGGUCUGGUCCCAACUAGUUCGGGGUGGGUUAAACUCAAUACUGAUGGUACUGUUUCUGUAGGUGGUCUUAAGUCCGGGGUUGCUGGUUUGAUUAGGAAUGCGUUGGGAAAUGGGAAGUUGGCUAUAACAGAUUCAUUGGUGUGAGCAACGUUCUUGAAGUAGAACUGCAUGUUGUUUUGAAUGGCUUGAAGAUUGCCUGGGACAAAGGCUUUUAGCAAAUACUGUUGGAAUGUGAUAACCUUCAUAUUAUUAGCUCCUCUUAUUGGUCGAGGCAAUGAUGCAUUUAGCAAAGUUGAGGAAUUAAGUAGAACGAACUGGGUAGUGCAUGUUUCGUAUAUUGGAAGGAUGGUAAUGUGGCUAAAAUAGCUCUAACAGAUAGACCUGGGUUGCAAGUACCUUUAGACCCUUUUUCUGUUGUUCUUGACGUGUGGAGUGAUGAUGUUUCAGGCCUCUCUAGCUAUACAAAUGCUCAACACUUUUCCUUUGUAUUUUGUUGGCUUCACUACACCAAAACAGGCUUUUAGAAGCAGGUCCAGGUUUGCUAGCCUUUGAGACCAUUCCCAAUAAACUUGAAGCUCAGGUUUGUUCUUCCUCAUGUAUACUUUACAUGUAGGAAGUUACAUUCUUCAUUAGCUUUUCAAGUUUCUAGUGAUCACUGAUCCAUUCGUAAUCAAAGCCGAGCAGGGACGAGUGGCGCAUGUAUAAUGCACACUGGCUGCAAAGGUUAAUUAGCAAUCGUUGUGGUUCUUCUGCCUUUUGCGCCUCUCCCUUUUUUUUUGUUUUUUGGCUUUCUUGGUUCUCAGUUUCUCAAUUCUAUCCACAGUUGUAUGGGGAAACCAAAGCACUACCGACCUCCUGCAAGUUCUUUCGAACUUUAUUGCUUUCAAAUUGGCGGUUUAGAUUUUCAAAUUUGACUUAUUGUAAGGAUUUUUUGCUCAUAAUUUAUGGUGAAAUUUUACAGGGAAAGAAAAAGGAAGGAAAUGCUGCGAGAUAUGUGACGAGGUCACAAGCUAUUAAAAUCCUUCAAGUUAGCCUUUCGGAUUUUAGGUUCAUCUCUUCUUUCUCACUUUUAUUAAUUAUUAUUAUUUAAGCUUCCUUUAUUUGCCUUCUUUUAUCAUUUUUUUCAUGUUGUUUUUAGCUUCGAAGAUUAAUUAGCUAAUAAUUUGAAACUAUUGAGCUUCGUUAAGCUGAGAUUAGUUCAUCAAGUAGCAGUUAAUUGCUACUUUUGCUAACUGUUUUUUGCUCACUGAAGCAAAGAGAAGAAGUGUGUAUGGAAAAUAUUCUUAUUGCUAGCUUUUUACUUCAGCAUGAGUUUAUGACUAUGUUUUAAUUGAUAUGAUUUUGUUAUUAUUAUUAUUAUAAAAAAUCGAGGAUUUUAGUAAGAAAACAUAUAAAAAAAAAGCCUCAACCAAAUGAAACGCGUAUUGAUGGGGUUUGUUAUUUUUUAUUAAAUAUGGUUGGCUUCCUUUUUGCUUUAAUGGAUUUAAUACUGCAGGAAACUAUGCAUCCACAAAAGAGUAUUUCCGAGAGAGCCAAAGAAGAAAGUGAAAGGAAAUCAUCAUACUUACUGUCACUUGAAGGAUGUCAUGUACAUUCUUCAUGAUCCACUACUUGAGAAGUUUAGAGAAAUAAGGGCAUAUCAAAGGAAGAUAAAGAAAGCUAAGGCUAAAAAGAAGGAUGAGUUAGCAAAGCUUCUUCUAUCUCGUGCACCUUCUUACAGACUUGAUAUGGUCAUCCGCGAUAGGUUUGUGAAACAAUCUUUGUAUGUUUUAUUUCCUCUCGUUGCUAGUUGUAUCAAAUCUGUAAAACUUUUGUAUUAAAACUUUUAUAGUAAGCAGCAACAUAACUAAAUCACCUUAUGCUGAUAAUGAGAAGAUUUAUUGUUCCUAUUCCCUUGGCUCCAAUUUUUUUGGUUCAAAACUUGAUGUCUAAGUGCAUGCUUGAGUAUUUGGUAAUCAAUCCUGUGAAAUAGUUUCUAGUUAAGGUGGCAUAGAAGCAUAUAGUCCAGGCAUAGUCUGCUCUUACAAUUUAUGAUUGUUUUUUGGUUUCUCCUCUCCACAAACUGUCUAAUGUAGUUGGCAGAAUGAGAUGAUGUUAUUUAUGCCUAUACAUGCAUUUCUCUGUGGAUGGGUAACUUAUAUCUUUGAUUUGAGGCAUAGUUUGAUGACAGCAUAACUUAUUGCUGAAGUUAUACAGCCACGUUGUUUGCAUGCUGAUGACCAGUUUUGACAUUUAAGAUUUCAGCAUAACAUAAUUGUUUGUUAUAUAAUUUUUGUUUUAGCCUUAAUGGCUAUAUAUAAUUUUUAUUUUUAACAUCUCUAUUGUUUAUCAAGUUUGUCGGUUUAUCUGUUCAUUUGGUUUUGCAUCCUUUAGAUAUUGAAGGUGUUGUAGAGGAUUCAAUCUCUUCAAGCUGGAAAAGCCAAGGCUUAGCACUUCUUCAAGUGGAGUGUUUUUUAAUUUUUCAUUCCAUGGUCGUUUAUCUUAGUCGGAACUUGAAUUUGGUGUUAUUGAAACAGGGUUUUGUAGUUACCUUGUGUACUAGCUUCUUUAACCAUGAUUGUUAAUCAUUACGAGUUUUGUAAUUUCUUUUAUAUUUGGCCGAGUUAAUAGAGAUCAGAUGAGCUGUGAGGUAGAUUGCUCAUUUAUUUAAACAUAAUAUUUUAAUUCUAAAUUUAAAUUCAUUAAUUUUUAUAUUUAGCUUUAAAGUUAAAAUUUUAAUAGAAAUUUUAAUUUAAUUAAUUUUUUUAUCCUUAAAAGUAUAUAGUUUAAAGUUUAAAUUUCAAAAAUAAAAUAAAAUAUAAUAUUUAUCAUAGGAAUAAAUAUUAUUUAAUUAAAAUAUAUUUUUUAAAAUUCAUAUUUUUAGCGGCGUUUGUGAAAAAGCGCCGCUAAAAUUCAUUCUUUAUAGCGAUGUUUGUGGUAGAAGCGCAGUUAAAGGUCAUGGUCUUUAGCGGCAUUUUUGGUAGAAGCAUCGCUAAAGGUCAUGAUCUUUAGCGGCGUUUGUGGUAGAAGCGUUACUAAACGUCAUAAUCUUUAGCGGCGUUUGUGAUAGAAGUGCCACUAAAGGCCAUGAUCAUUAGCGGCGUUUUUUCACAUAAACGUCGCUAAAGUUAGCGACGUUGUCUACAGCGACACUUUUUGCGGUGCUUAUUAAAGCGCCGCUAAAAGUUUAUUUUGCUGUAGUGAUUUUAGGAUGUCUAAAAUGGUAUUCCCAAGUUUGUUGAGAGUUUUGGAGACAAUAUACAACUUGCAAACUUCAAGAAACAUAUCUUCUAGUGAAAUGUUGGGAAUUUUUUUAUACAUCUUGGGCACCGGUGCAAAAGGUUCCCAAUGUCGAGAAAGAUUUCAAAGGUUUGGAUCAACAAUAAGUUGACACUUUGCAAUUGUGCUUGAGGAAGUUUCAAGGAUGGCCACUGAUCUAAUUGCCCCCGAAGAUCUUUUUUUUAGCUCAAUACCCGAAUAAAUACGUAAUGAUUCUAGAUAUAUGCUCCAUUUUAAGGUCAAAAUAUUAUUUUAUAUUAUUAUAUUUUAAUAUAUUUGGUCGACUAAAAAUAUGCACGAGAGUAAUAUGAUUAUUUGUUCAGGACUGCAUAGGUGCAAUUGAUGGUACUCACAUUGCCACUAUUCUUCCAGCAAAUGAACAAAUUCCCUAUAUUGGAAGAAAAUGUAUCCCGACUCAAAAUUUUAUGGCAGUAUGUGAUUUUAAUAUGUGUUUCAUCUUUGUCAUGGUUGGAUGGAAAGAAUCGACACAUGACACUAGAAUAUUUCUUGAUGCAAUUUGAGAUCCAAAAUACAAAUUUUCGCACCCACCAAAUGGUUAGAUAUUUUAUUUAUAUGUGCUUUUUUAAAUAAUAAAGUAUAAGUUCUUUAAUUGAUAAUUUUUAUAAAAAAAAUUCUUGAAUUAAUUGUUUGUUAUAUUAUGACUUGUAGGAAAAUAUUAUCUUGUUGAUUCUGGAUAUCCUCAAAUGAAAAGUUAUCUUGGACCAUAUAGAGGUCAGCGAUAUCAUUUACCUGACUUUCGUAGAGGUAGACCAGUAUCUGGUAAAGAAGAGAUAUUCAAUCAUUCACAUUCAUCAUUACGUAGUGUGAUUGAACGAACUUUUGGUGUUUUGAAAAAAAUGGGUUAUUUUAAGGGAUAUGCCAAGUUAUAGUUUUGAAAAGCAAACGAUGAUCGUUGUUGCUACAAUGACGAUACACAAUUUUAUCCGAAAACAUGUCGGUCGAACUGAUGCAGAUUUUAUGAAAUACGAAGAUAUUAACUGGGCAUAUGAGAAUAUUAUUGAUUCAGAAAAUGCACAUGGUCGAGAAAGUGAUGAUGAUGACGACAACAAUGAUGAUGGUGAUGACAGUGAAUCAAACAAUUCAAGUGGUUUUGAAAUGGAAUUAACAAGAGAUGCUAUAACUUCUAGUUUAAUGAAUUCACUUUAAAUUGUAAAUGCUAUUGUAAAAUUUUUAGUAUUUAUAUUUGGUAUAUAAAUAUUAUCCCUUUUUAAAACUUUAAUCCAAAUAUAUGUGAUAUUUUAAUUUUUUAGGUUUAUGUUUUCUAUGUUAUGUUAAUAUCUAAUAUGAGUUAUAUAUUCAAAUACAUUUUAAAAUAAAAUAAUACAAAUGUGUCAAUAUCUAAUUACAAAUAUUUAAUUAUUAUAUUUAAAUAUUUAAAUAUAGUUUGUAUAUUCUAAUUAUAUUUAAUAAAUAAUUAAUAUUAAUUACUUAGAAAUAUUUAAAAUUAAUAUUAUAUACUAAAAUAUUAACAAUAAAUUAUAAUAAAUUAUUUUUUAUAUCUUUGCUAAAAUAUCAUAAUAUUAACUAAUUUGAACAUUAUUUAAAUACAUAUUUGUUACUUUAUAAUAUCAUUUCUAAAAUGGACAUUUUAUUCUUCAAAAGCACUUUUUGACAGCAAUAUCAAACACUCAAAAUUUUCAAAAGUACUUCUCAAAAGUACUUUUCCACAGCACUUUUCCAAAGCAAUGAAGAACUGGCCCAAAAGCACACUAGCUUUCGCCGUCUCAUCCGCAAAAAAACCUAAAAUGAUACACCAGAAACUCCCUCAAGACAGACAGAGCCAAGUCACUUUCUCGCUAAUCCCCAUCGAACCCUCCAAUUAAGCAAAGCCAUUUCAUAUUUCAACCCAGUGGGCACCACAAUUGCCUUACAAAAUUUACAAACUAAAAUGCUAAAAGUAAUCCAGAAAAAUACACAGCCCAAGCUCCAAAAUGCAAGAAAGUCCAUUUAAAAUAUGAGCCAAAUUUAGAUUUCAGUUUAAAAACUUGAAUCUAAUUCGUUUUUAAUUUUGUAAUAUAGUAUAUUCACUACAAGAAAAAUAUGAAUUGUCAACAUUAAAAUUUAUUGCUAAAUGUUGUAUUACCAUUACUAAGAGUUUAUUGCAACAACAAAAAAAUCGUUGCGAGGUCGUUGUGUAUACCUCUAUUGUACAAAAUAUGCACAACGAUUUUACAAAUUGAAAAGUCGUUUUAAUUAUAUAUAUUGCAACAACUUUUUUCAUUUUAAAAUAUAUAUUUUUUGUAACGACUUAAUUUAUUUGUAUAAAAAUGUUUUAGUUAUAGUAAAAUCUGUUAUAAUAUUUUUAACACAACCAUAAUACUUUAGUUACAAAAACUAUUACCUAACAAUAAUAUAUUGGUUGUAAUAUAAAAUUUGCAACAACUGUAAAUUAAAAUGCUAAGUUUUGUACGUAACAAUAAUAAUAUUGAUAUGUAAUUGUAUUACAUUACUCAAUGAUUAUAUGUCAUUGCCAAAAAAAUAUUUUAAUAACCAUAAAAUGUGGUUGCCAAAUCAUUUACUUAAGAACAAUACUACUGAUUACUAAAUAUUAUUCUGCAACUAUUUUAAUUUAUUGUGUACUACAUUGCUGUAACACCCCUAAUGUAACACCUCUUACCCGAGACCGUUUUUGGAGUCGAGCACGAGGCAUUACUUAGCUUAUCUUACUAAUUCGGAGCAUAAAAACUUGGUUUGAAAAUUUAUUUCACUAUUUACAGCAAAUCUGUCCACCCAUGCAGUAGUCACUUAUUUAAUUAUAACUCGAGUUACGAAACUCAAAAUUUAGAUCCGUAAAUUUUCCCUGAAAUUAGACUCAUAUAUCUUUUCACCAUAAAAUUUUUCAGAAUUUUUGGUUUAGCCAAUUAGUACAGUUUAUUAGUUAAAGUCUCCCCUAUUUCAGUGACCGACCAUCCUGACCUCUUGUCACUAAAAUUCAAUUAUCUCUUUGUACAGACUUCAUAUGGUGCUUCCACUUAUUUCUCCUGAAAAUAGACUCAUAAAGGAAUAUAUACAUAUAAAUUAUAACUCAUAAUUCCUUCUGUGAAAUUUUUAAUGAAUUUCUAAAGUCAGAACAGGGGACCUCAAAAUCAUUCUGACCCUGUCUCACUAAAAUUCAAAUAUCUAAAAAUAUACAACUCUUUUUCUUACUCUAUUUCUUUCAUGUGAAAUUAGACUCAUUCAGCUUUAAUUUAGUAUCUCACUCAGAUUCUAAUUCAAUUUCCACCAUUUUUGAUGAUUUUUCAAAGUUACCUCAAUGCAUAUAUCCGAAAACUGUUCCAUUGCAAAUUUUAAAAAAAUUCAAUAUAACCCCUUUGUAAUUAUCUAACCUUCCCUGCAAAUUUAAAUCACAACCAAUUCCAGUAUUUCAACUACUUCAUUUAAAUACUAAUGAAGUUCAACCAAUCAACCAUUUCAAACAAAAAAAAAACAUGUAUAUAUUUCGAUAUCUAACACAACCAUAACAUUCAAAUUUAUUUUGCAUACUUAGUCAUUCAUACUAAUACUUUUUACUUCAAUUCCCUAUACAUGCCAUAUAAAUCCAAAAAGUUGUUUAACAAAAUCUACCGGAGUAAAUCUGGAUAGUGUGAUCGUUGUUGUAGAUCCGAUCCUCCGAAAUAUAUAUAUACGUCAAUCUACAAGAAACAGUAAACACACACCAGUAAGCUUACAGAAAGCUUAGUAAGUUCACAGGCUCAUAAUAAUAUAUUACCAAAAUUUCACUAACAACAUUAACAAACAAAUAAAAAUUCAGCAUUUCCUGCCAACCCCAAUCUCAAAUAAUAAAUAUAUAUAAUCGUGCUCAAUUUCAGAUGUCAACUUCUAUUCCAACAUUUAGUUUCAAUUGCACUUACAAAUACCUGUCAAAUUAAGGAUCGUCUUACGGAAUUGAGUACAUCGUUUGCCCGUGCCACGAUUUGCUUGAACAUUUCACAUUGCUAUAAUUCAGUAUGGUUUUCUUCCUUGAAAUACCAUACCUACUUUUCACAACUUAGUAUGGUUUUCUUCAUUGAAACACCAUACCUACUUUUCACAACUCAGUAUGGUUUUCUUCACCGAAACACCAUACCUACUUUUCACAAUUUUCCAUGGAUCCACCAUGGACUUAUCCGUCAAUUCGUCGUUGGUUGCCAAACAUGUGUACUCAAUCCUGCGUAUCCCUUAAUUUGAACUAACAAUCUCAUCUUCUUCUCAUUUUUACCAUAAUCAUAAUUCAGUAACAAUAUACGAAUUUAUACAAUAUAUCAUUUCCACAUUAACAAUUAAUCAUAAAAAUUCAGCCAUAUGAACUUACCUGGGCCGAUUUGUAGAAGUUUUAAAAGUUCAGAAACUAGUUUGAUACUUUCUCUUUUCCGCGUUUAUCUUCGGAUUCCCGAUCUAUAAUAUAAAUUUUUCCAUUCAUUAGCAUCUAAUUCAAUACUAAUUUACUUCACAAUUUAUGCCUUUCAAUUUUCAAAAUUACACUUUUACCUCCAAAAUUUACAAUUUUUACAAUUUGGUCCCUACUCAAUUAACCCUUCAAUUGAUCAAAAUUUUCCCAAUUAACACUUUAUCCAACCAUUUUAGACUACUGAACAGCCUUUGAUAUUCAUAAUUUCAGUACAAAACCCCAAUUCCUAACUUUUUCACAAUUAGGCCCUAAAAAUCAUUUUCUACUAAAAUCAUUUUAAUAAGAUCAUAAUAUAAUGAAAUUAAGACUUAAAAUCUAUAAUAAUUCAUCAUAAAAUUCCAGAACUUAUUCAUGGUAACUUACAAAAUCACUCAUAAAUUCAAAAACUAACAAAUUCAAUAGUUGGACCUAGUUGUAAAAGUCACAAAACAUGAAAAUUUCAAAGAAAAAAGCAAGAAUUGAACUUACAUGAUGAAAAAUAUGAAAAACCAGCUUGAAAACUCUCUCCUAUUACGUUUUGGCUGAAGAAAAAUGAUGAUAUCUCUAGAUUUUUCACUUUUAUCUUUGUUUUAUAUAUUUAAUUUGUAAAAUUUCCAAUUUUGCCCUUAUUUCUCCUUACUUUCCUGCUGAUUUUUCUUGCCCAACCGUCCAGCCCAUAAAAUUUUGGGCCUAAUUGCCUUUUAAAUCCCUCCUCAUUAGUCACUUAAGCUAUUUAAUCAUAAUUUAACAAAUUUUACACUAGUCUCAAUUUAGUCCUUUUUAGUUAAUUGACUAACCAAACGUUAAAAUUUUCUAACGAAACUUUUAUACUAACUCAAUGACAUUCCAUAAAUAUUUAUAAAAAUAUUUAUGGCUCGGUUUAUGAACUCGAUGUCUCGACACCGCAUUUUAGACCCACUUUACCUAUUAAAUUCUUUUUAAAUCACAAAAUUCACUAAUUCAAAAUUCUUCUAAAUUCACACUUGACCCAUAAUUAUUAAUUUAUUAAAUUUUAAGACUCACUUGUCAGAUUUAGUGAUCUCGAAUCACUGUUUCUGACACCACUGAAAAUUAGGCUGUUACAACUAACCCGAAUCCGUCGUCAGAACAAAGUUAUGGAGCAUCACCGAAAUUUACAAAUUAAUUUUCAGACAUCUAUUUCAUCUAGCAUUCAUAUUUGAAACCAACCAAAAUCAAAAUAUUAAUGAGCCAACGUUGGCUAAAUUAACUUAUACAUGCCAUUAUAACUAGAACCAAAUCAUCCAAAAUUACCGAUAAAACCAAUGGAUAGUGUGAUAUAUCUCCGACAAGUUUCCAACCCAAUCGAGCUUCCGAUUAUCUGUAGGGUAAAUAAAAAAAAUAAAUGCGUAAGCAAUGAAUGCUUAGUAAGCUCGUGUAGUCUUUAAUCAUAUUAGUUCCUUUAAAAUAUGAAAUUUAUGCAUAUCAUGGAUAACCCAAAGUUGAUACCACAAUACCCAUGAAGCUAUAUUCAUCAACUUACAAGGUAAAUAAAUCCACAAUAUCACUUAAACACAUUAUCCCAAGCUUAGUAGGAUUUUAUAUAACUUUAUCUCUUCAUAAUUUCUUUAUUUUCAUUUUCAUUUCUUUACUUUCCACGCUUAUUCUAUAUGCGUGACACACAAGUCAUAAACAUUUCAUUCAACCAUAGUCACAAGCUAAUGCAUUUCCAAAGUCUUUUUCAAAUUGAUUACAUGAUAAGUUAUUUCAUAAGAAAUUGUAUAAUCUAAACCUUACCACUUUUUAGUGAGCGCUAGCAUAUUUUCACUUAAAUACUUUCCAAUUCAAUGCAUUAUAUAAAUAAUCAUAAUAUCAUUCAACCAAUAGCUUGGCACUUGCCUAAGCAUCAAGCAAGAAUACUAGUUAGUGUACUUGCACACAUUACAUAUAAACUCAUCAUGCAUAAUUUUCUUGUAUCAACAUAUUAAAGAUAAUCAUACAUUUACAUGUCAUGAUACAUAUCAUUCUCUUGUCGUUUCUUCAUAGACAUAUAUCAUUCAUUUCAUUAUUUCGAUAUUUCAUGUACCAUCAUUUUCAUGAAUUUCGUACAUACCAGUAAUAGUUCAUUUCAAAUUCAUGUUAUCUCACUUUAAAAUUUUACCCGUUAUAUCAUUUAAAUAUCAAUGGUUAUAUUUAUUUUAGAUCAAUACCAAUAAUAAUCUAUAAAUCUUUCAAUUCAAUCACAUAAGUCUUUUACCAUUUCUUUCUGAAUCGAAGAACGACUUACGGAUAUUAGUACAUCAUUCUUUGGUGCCAUAUUCCAACUAUGGUCUUGCACAUAUAAACACUGCCAUAGUCCAACCAUGGUCUUACAUUUAUAGUGCCAUAACCCAGUUGUGGUUUUAUCCAUCAAUUCAUCCUUUGUCACAGUACGAUUGUACUCAAUCCCGCGUUCAAUCCAAAUUGAGUAUUGAAUUCGAUAUUAUAUUUCCAAUAAUAAUUCAAUUUCAUAUUUUCUAUUACCCUUAUUAUUUCCCCAUAUUUAUCCCGUUGAAUUUCUUGGAAAUUCGAUGGAUUUUCAGAUGUACACUUUUAGUGUACAAUUCCGGGUCCGUCAAUUCAUAUUCAUGUGGGCACAUUUCCAUUUCAGAGAGCACACUCCUGCGAACCUCAUCCUUACAGCGGGAUUGCCAGUCCAGGCUAAAUCCCCUAUAAUAUAAACUCAUAGAGUAUUGUCGGGAUUACCAGUCCAGGCUAAAUCCCCUGCAACGACAAUUAUUGUAAUGAUUUUGGAUCUGAAUUAUCAGUCCAAGCUAAAUUCAGACCCUAAUUCAGAUUACCCGUCCGGGUUAAAUCCAUUUUCCACAUAUUCUUCGGGAUGGCUAUAUCAGGAUAGGAUCACCCGUCCGGGCUAGAUCCUUUUUACCGUCAAUUCCUUUUCAGAGAUCUAUCGAAUUUUCCUUCCAUUCAACCGGGAUUUCUUCCCCUUUUUAUAAAAUAUAUCAAUGUUUCAUCAAUUUUCAUACAAUGAACAUUCAAAUCAUAUUACAUUAAUAACAAACAUUUCAAGAAUUUAAGAAUAUAAUUCAAGUUACACGAACUUACCUCAUUACUUGUUCGUGUUUACAAUUUCACUAAUUUGAUGUCUUUUCUUUUCCACGUUCAAGUUCCAUAUUUGAGUCAUUCGGAUCUUUCUAAACAAAUUUGAUCAUCAUUUUCAUUCAUUUCAUAUUCUGAUAUAUUCAAUUAAUACUCUAGGCAAGAUUACCAUAUUGCCCCUAAGCUUUUAAUUAAUGACGAUUUUAAUCCUUGGGCUCAGAAAAAUAAAUUAUUGUAAUUUUAAUCCUUGUUUUAAGCCUAAUUAUUCCCAUACAUAUUGAUAACAGCCCAUGAAUUCUAUAAAAUAUUAGAAUUUUUCAUAAUUUCAACACUUUUCAAUUUAAUCCCUAAAACAUGUUUUCACCCGAUCUUGUUCUAAAUUUCAUUCAAUUUUGUAAUUUAAAUAAAUAAACAGUCCAUUUCAUGCAAUUUGGUCAUUUUUGACAUUUUUUACAAAUUGCCCAUAAAGUUUUACUUUUAUUCAAUUUAGUCCCUGAGUCUAAAACAUGCAAAUUAUCCAUGCUAACUGAAUAUUCACAUAUAUAUCUUCCUCAUCCUUCUCUUCAUUCCACUUCCUUAAUUUAUAUAAAAUGCUUAUAAGUAACAUUAUCUAUGAUUUCACAAUUUACUUGUAAAUUUAUUCAAAGCUAUCCAUUUGAGUCAUAAUCACUAAAUUAUUUUUAUCUUGAGCUACGGAACUUCAAAUUAGGAUCUGCUAAUUUUUCCUGAAACUAGACUCACAUAUCUUCUUACCAUAAAAUUUUUAGAAUUUUUGGUUCAGCCAAUAAGUACAACUUAUUCUUUAAAUUCACCUCUCUUCUGCUAUCUGACAAUUCCGACCCUUCUUCACUUAAAAUUAAUUAUCUCUUUGUAUAGAAUUUGGAUUAUGUCCCCAUUUUUUUCUCUUGAAAAUAGACUCAUUAAGGAUUUUAAACAUAUAAAUUCUAACCCAUAAUUAUUUUUUUACUUUUUAAUGAUUUUUCCAAGUCAGAACAGGGGAACCCAAAUUCAUUCUGACCUUGUCUCACAAAAUUUAUUAUAUCUCAUAAUUUACGAUUCUAUUGCUUACACCGUUUCUUUUAUGAGAAAAUAGAAUCAAUAAGCUUUAAUUCCAUAUUUUAUUCAUACUCUAAUUCGAUUUUCAUAAUUUAUGGUGAUUUUUCAAAGUGAGCCUACUGUUGCUGUCCAAAACUGUUUUAGUACAAUAUGUUUAUUACCAUGUUUAUAACACCCUUAUUUUCUUUCUUUACACUGUGUCUAAUCACUUUCUCUUAUUUUCUCUUCACUAACAUAUCAAGAACAUAGGACCAUAUAUACAAAAACUUUACAUUAACAUCAUUUCCAUACUUUUUCAAUAAUAUUAAACUUAAAAAUAUAUUAAAAUCUUAAUGUACUUACCUUGUCAUAUUGAUUUCAAUCUUUAACUUGAUUUUCUCUCUCCUCCAGCAUCUAUUUCUUGAAUCUAACUUGAUAUUCUAGCUCCCCAUAGUCUCCUUGUUAUCUUUCUCUUUGAUGGAUAUGGAAAUUCUUUUGAUUUCUAGGUGAAAAUGGUGAAUUUUUGGUGGAAGGACUAAAUUGUAAAGAAAGUAAAACUUUCUUUCUUUCUCUCUUUUCCUCACGUUAGUGCAUGAAAAAAAAUGGGUGGGUUGCAUGAUUCUUCAUCUUCCUUUUCUUAUAUAUAUACUAAAUAAAAUAAUAAUAAAAUAUUAAAAUAUCAUUUAAAAAUCAAAUUAAAAUACUAAUAAACUAAUAUUUAUUUAUUUAAUCAAAAAUAUCUCCAACAUCAUCAUCAUCUUCUAUAUUUCCCUCUCUUCUAAUUGAUCAUUUUGCCCUUUAUGAUCUUUUAAAAUUUUAUCCUUGAGUCAUCACUUAAUUUGGUAAAAUUACUAUUUAGUCCCUCAAAAUUCUUCACCUUUUUCAAUUUGGUUCUAAUCCAUCCAUUUUCCUUAGUUUCUAGAUCAUUCCACCCUUAAAAUAUUUACACCAUUGGUCCUUCAAAUUUUUAUAUUUACACUUUAAGCCCUCAAUUUUUGAGUAUUUACUCUUGGGCAACAAAAUGUUUUUCACUUUUACGAUUUAAUCCUUUCUUGAACUAAUAUGUCAUAAUAUACUUCUCAAUGUUGACAUAACUCAAAAAUUUCCCCUUUUUGUCGCUUUAUUUCCUUACUUUAUUAUAUCAAAGAUAAUAUCUUACUGUAAAAAAAUUUUAGGGUAUUACAAUUGCGCAACAACAAUAUUAUUUUUAAUCAAAUGGCUAUAUAUAAUUUAAUAAAAUUUUAAAAAAUUUCUUAAUAAAAUUUUAAAAAAAAUUUCUUCAUCCUCUAACUUAAUAAAAUUUUUAAAAAAAAUUCAUGUUAGAUUGAAUUGACAUUGAGGUUAUAUAUAGUCACUGGUCAUGUCAAAGAGAAUAGCUCUACCAAAAUAAAAAAUUUAUUUUUAUUAAAAAUUUUAAAAAAAAUUAAUUGCAGCAUAGUAACCGUCAUUCUCUAUGACUCUAUCAAAUAAAAUAAUAAUUUUAAUUUCAAAUUAAAAAUAAAAAUCACUUUAAAAAUUUGACAUAAUAAAAGUGGUGUGACCAAUUUAUUUGGCUCCCGAAAUAUUAUUAUUUAUUUUCUAGUUCCCAAAAUAUUUAAAAAUAUUGGUGUUAGAGUGGUAUUUAUACGGGUGAAGCCAAAUAAAUUAACUUUACCUACAAAAAUUAAUUUUUGUUAUAAAAUAAAGAGAGAUGGAGAGAAUGAAGAACAAAUAAAAUAUGAAAGCAAUAGAGAAUGUACUUUAUUGAUCAAAGGGAUGAUUACAAUGCUUCAUCGGAGUCUCUAUUUAUAGGCAUAAGAAGUAUAAAAGAAGUAGAGGUCUAAUUCUAAUAACUAAUAGAAUUUAAAGUAUAUCAAAGCUUUAUCUUGAUCAUGAUGGACAUCCACUAAAUAAGAUAUUUAUAACACUUCCCCUUGGAUGUCCAUUGGUGGAUAAUGUGCCACGUUAAAACCUUAUUAGGAAAAAUCCUGUGGGAUAAAAACCUAAUGAAGGAAAAAGAGUACACAAUCUUCUAUUACAAGUUGUCUCAUUAAAAAUAUUUACCAGGAAAACCCAAUGGGACAAUACCUUGGUUAAAGGAAAAGAGUACAACUUAUUUUAGACUCCCCCUAAUAGCAACAUUACAUUACAUCUUUAAGUUGACGCAUUCCAAUCUUGUGUAGUAGUCUUUCAAAUGUUGAAGUUGGCAAUGCCUUAGUAAAAAUAUAUGUUAAAUUAUCACUAGAAUGAAUUUGUUGAACAUUUAUAUCACCUCUUUUCUCAAGAUCAUGGGUGAAGAAUAAUUUUGGCGAAAUAUGUUUCGUUCUAUCACCUUUGAUGUAACCACUCUUCAAUUGAGCUAUACAUGUUGCAUUAUCUUCAUAUAAGAUAGUUGGCAUCUUUUCCUAUAAAGGCAAAUUACAUAUCUUCUAGAUAUGUUGGGUCAAUAACCUUAGUCAAAUACACUCUCGACUUGCCUCAUUCAUUGCAAUUAUUUCUACAUGAUUUGAAUAAGCAACAGCUAAUGUUUGCUUUGUCGAACAUCAUGAUAUGGUAGUACCCCCCUCACAUGUAAAUAAAUAUCAUGUUUGAGAUCGACCUUUAUGUGGAUCUGGUAAGUAUCCAGCAUCAGCAUAGCCAACUAAUAAGGAUUUUGAAUCAUCUGAAUAAAAUAAACCCGUACCAAUGGUCCCUCUGAAAUAUCUAAAUACAUGUUUAAUUCCAUUCCAAUGCCUACAUGUUGGAGAAGAACUAAAUCUUACUAACAAGUUUACAGUGAAAGCUAUAUCAGGUCUUAUGUUGUUUGUAAGAUACAUCAAUGCCCUUAUGGCACUUAGAUAUGGUACUUUAGGACCAAGAAACUCUUCAUCAUUCUCGCAAGGAAGAAAUUGAUCUUUAUUCACAUCUAACGAUCGUACAACCAUCGGAGUAGUUAAUGGGUGUGUUUUAUCCAUGUAAAAUUUCUUUAAUAUCUUUUUCAUAUAAGUUGAUUAAUAAACAUGAAUUUUAUCUUUUAAAUGCUUGAUUUGUAAUCCAAGAUAAAACUUUGUUUUUCCAAGAUUUUUCAUCUCAAAUUCUUUCUUUAAACAAUUUAUUGUAUUUUGAAGCUCUUUAGGAGUUUCCAAUAAUAUUUAGAUAAUCAACAUAAACAACAAUUAUUACAAAAUAUGAUCCAAACCUUUUUAUAAAGACACAUGGACAAAUUGGAUCGUUUUUGUAACCUUCCUUUAACAAAUGUUCACUAAUACGAUUGUACCACAUGUCGAAACCAUUUUUUAAGUUUGAAAAAACAGGGAUCGACUUUUAAAAUAAAAACGGGAGUCGCCACCGAUCUUUUAUUAAGGUGUGACCGGUUCACCAUUAAAAUGAUUUUUGGUCUGCGAAUUUUGAGAAAAAUAGGUUCGGGAGUCGGUUACGCACGAGGAAGGGUUAGCACCCUCGUAACGCCCAAAAUUGGUACCGAAUCGAUUGUUUAAUGUCUUAAUGUCGAGAAUUUGAAAAGAUUUUUAAAAUACGAUCAUUUGAAAAGAGAAUUUGAAUAGAAUGAAUUUGAUUGAUGUGACUCACUUAUAAAUUGUCACACUCAGUAAGUUAGAGUGUAACGUUUUAAAUCCUUAAAAUUAAGUUUAUCUUUUAACUUUUGAAACCUAUGCAUUUUAAGAAAGAUAUCCGAUUAUUUGGGUCAAAUGAUAAAAUCAAAACCCAGUAAGUUAGGGCUCGAUUUCACAAAAUUCCUAAAUAUCGAAUAUUGCCUUUAUUUUAAAGUCGAGAUAGCAAAAUGCCAUAUCCAGUAAGUUUGGAUCCAACAUUUUGAAGUCUCAAAAGUUUUAUUUUAAAAUUGUAUGGUUUUACCAAAAUAAACACUUGGCUAUUCAAAUUCAUCGAGAAGAAUGGAAGCCCAGUAAGUUAGGGCACCAUUCUCUCGAGAGUUAUGGACACCAGGCCUUUUUUGAAAAUUAUGAAAUAGAACGAUUGUUGUGCUUAAAAAAAACAAACAAUUUUUAUAAAUGUAGCAUGAUUGAAUGGUAAUAUACAAUGUUCAAGAUAAAUGGCAAUCCAAACACACACUAAAAAAAACAAGUAAAUAAUAGGUAAAUGCAAAUAUCAAUAAUAAUUCUAAUCAUAUCUUACAAACAUCAAUAUUAGCAAUUUAACAUCCAAUAAAUUAAUAAUCAAUUUUCUAAAAGGUACAUCAAGACAAUGAGAGAAAAAAUAAUUAAUAUCCUAUACAUAAAAGUUCUAAAAUAAAUUAAAUAUAUGAAUUCAAAAUAGACUCAAAAUAGAAUUAGAAUAACCAUUGAAUAGUCGAAUUUGAAAUAAAUUUGAAGCAAAUAAAAUACAUAUAUUAGCUUAAUAUAUAUAAAAGAUAAACAUAAUAAUAAUAAUAAUAAUAAUAAUAAUAAUAAUAAUAAUAAUACAUAUACUCGAUUAAAAAACAUACAUAAAAUAUUGAAAGUAAAACGAAAUUUAAUGGGUAGCAAACAUAAAUAAAAAUAAAAGAAAGAUUAAAUUUGAACUUCAAAAAAAAGAGGGACUAAAACAGCAAAUAGACGCAUAAUUCUAAUGAUUUUAAUCUGCUUGAUGAAAACGACGACGUUUGAAUAUGGAUUUAAAUGAAAUCAAAAUCAAAUCCACAGUUCAAAUUUAAAAAGUGAAUAAAAUCCAAUUGAAAUUAUACUGAACACGGAGAGACUCAUUGCGCAAAUAGACCAACGAGCGAAAAUGCGCGGAUCCUCCCCAGGUCGGGUCACACACGCGGGUCAUAUGGCCAAUACGGCGCCGUUUUAAGGCCACUGACGCAGGCCUUAAACGGUGUCGUUUUCCGCACCAUAAAUAUAAACUUAAAAACCCUAAAAAUAGCAGCCAUCCUUUGUCCUGGAAGAAAACCUAGAGCAAAGCUACUCCCCCCUGCACCACUUCAGCAUCGGAGCCCAAAGUCGACUGGUUCCGAACCAACGAGGGAUUCGACGGUAGACUUAUAGGUACGAGCCCUGACUCCCCCCUUCCUUCUCUCCUUUUUUUUAUGCUUAUAUAUAUGUAUUAAUAACAAAACAAAAAGAAAGAAAAGCGAUCGGAAAAAGAAAAGAAUCGAUCAGAGAAAAAAGAACCUUUUUUUUAUUGAUUUCCUUUUUGAUACAGUUUUUCGUGUGUUUUUUGUGUGCGAGAGUAACCCCCUUUUUAUAAUGCCUAUUUUGCUUUUUUUUUUUUAGCCAGAAAACAUGAAAAGAAAAGAAAAAAUGUUUUUCCUUCUUUGUUGUUGCUGCUGUUUUCUGUUUGUCUUCUCUUGCAGGUACGGGUGUGCGUGGCGUGGCUUGACAUGUACGGAGGCAAAGGUUGGCGAGGAGCGGCUCGGUUGGGUCUGUUGUGCGAGGGAGUUGCGGCGCCUGGUCUGUUCCAGAAACCCUAGGGUUUUUGGAAGCUGUUUAGGGCUAUUAGUGUUUGGGCUUAUUGGGCCUGGUGUAAUUGGGGUUAAACUUUAGUGGGCCUUAGUGGGUUAAUAACUUGUAUUGGACUGUUUUUAUUGGACUUUUGAUUUAUUUGGCUUUUUAUUUUUUUAUUUACUUGUUUUUUUAUAUGCAUGUGGGCGGGCACAAAUUGGGUUUUACACCACAUACAUUCAGAUUAUUUUUAUCCAUAUAAACUUUUCUUUAAUUUGAUUGAGUAAUUUUCUCAAGAAACUCUAUAUCAUUUUGGGAUUUUAAAUCUUUCAAGGAUUUUCAUAUAAAUUUCACUAUCAAGUGCACCAUAUAAAUAAGAUGUAACAACAUCCAUUAAAUGCAUGUCAAGUUUUUCUCGUACUGCCAAACUAAUAAGAUGUCUCUUCAUAAUCAAUGUUGGGCCUUUGCGAAAAUCCUUUUGCUACAAGACGAGCUUUAUAUCUUAUGACUUCAUCAAUUUCAUUUCAUUUUCGCACAAAUACUCAUUUAUAUCCUACCGACUUUACACCUUUAGGUGUUUUGGACUACAGGUCCAAAAACUUCACGUUUAGAAAGUGAAUCCAAUUAUACUUGAAUUGCAUCUUUCCAUUUUGACCAAUCUUUUCUAUUUUUACAUUCCUUAAUAGAUUUAGGCUCAGGAUCCUCAUUUUCUAAUGUUAUUUCAAUAGCAACAUUAUAAGCAAAAUUGUUGUCGACAACUACAUUAUUUUUGGUUCCAUCUUUUUAUCGUAUUGACAUAACUUAUCGAUAUCUCUUUAUUUUCAUCAUUUCUAUUUUCAUUUUAAGGUACCUGAAUCUCUUCUUGAGUUUUAUAAUUAGUUAUAUCAUAGGUCUCUUCAGGAACUCCUGCCUCCACUAUGUGACCGCCUUGAAUGUUUACUCCUUUUCUUUUAUAAGGAUUUUUAUCUUUGGAACCGACCGGUCUUCUAUGCUUCAGGCAUGGAUUACUUUCUUUUGCAUUAACAGUUUGCCCUAUUAGGACAUCAAUUCGUAUUGGAGCAUUUUCAGCUGGUAUUUGAAAUUUAAUGAAUUUGGCAAUUGAUUUGUAAAAUAAAUUAUCUGUUGAACUUCUACUUCACGUUGCUUUGUACGAGGAUCUUAAAUAUUGAUAAUUCAGUUCAAGUACUUUAUUAAUCCAACUUUUAUUCUCUCACUCCAAUGUUGGGAAAACUGACAACUCAUGUCAUAACUAAAUACCGAAUUAAUAGCUCAAAAAUAAUAUAAGGAGACUCAUAUAAAUAUACAUUCCCAAUCUCUUAUUAUGACCCAUCUUUGUGCGUUGUGGUGGAGCAGUUGGAACAUAUAUCGCACAUCUAAAAAAUGUAAGAUGGAAAAUAUUUGGCUCUUAACCAAAAAUCAAUUGUAAUGAAGAGUAUUUAUAAUUUAUUGGCUUGAUGCAUACAACAUGUAAAUCAAUACAAUCUCAUGCUGAAAUAGAAAGUUUUGUUCUCAUAAGUAAUGAUUUAGCUAUUAGUUGGAGGCAUUUGAUAAACAAUUCAGCUAAAUCAUUUUGUGUGUGAUCAUGAGCUACAAGAUGUUUAACUUUUAUCCCAAUUGACAUGCAAUAAUCAUUGAAAACUUGGGAUGUAAACUCACUAACAUUAGCAAGAUAACUUGUUUUAAUUGCAUAAUCUGAAAUUAAUCAUUUAAACAAGCAGUCUCGCAAACAAAAGGUUGCGAGUUGAUAACGCAUGUGAUUAUUUUGUAGAUGCAUCUACCAAAAUCAUAUAAUAUCAAAAUCAUCCACAUGGUGGAUGAAUGGGCCCAUAUUCAUUUCAGAAAUGCAAGACAUUAAAUCUCAACUUUAGCUAGUGAGUUUCUAAGAUUCAACUUUCAUUGAGAACAAGCAACAAAUGAGAAUUCUUUAAAUUAAAUAAUCUUUUGGAUCUUUAAUGAAUGUCCAUAUGAAUUCUCAAUUAAUUUUUGAAUCAUAUAUGAUCCAGGAUGGUCUAACUGGUUACGCCAAGUAGUAAAUGCAUUUGUAUUAGUAAACUUCUUGUUUACUUUAACAUGUGUUUCAAUUGUACUAAAUUGUAAUAAAUUGAUAAUUUUAUUGUCAUUCUUUUAUUUUGUAUCCACAUAUAAAUACUAUAGUGACAUUUACUAUUGGAAAUGUCUAAAUCUAUGUGAAGUCUAUAAUGCCACUAAGUCAAUAAAUAAAUAUAAUUUUCAAAUAAUUAUAUAUAAUAUUCGUUUUAGGGAAUAUGUCAAAAUAUUCAAAUAUAAGGCAUUUGGUCUAGUGGUAUGAUUCUCGCUUAGAGUGCGAGAGGUCCCAAGUUCGAUUCAAAAUAUAAAUAACUCAAUCCUCUUUUGAUUCAUAUCAAAUAUAAUCUUUUCCUCAUUCACAAUCUCAACAUGAGAUCCAUUAUGAAUAUCUUUUAAAACUAAUGCAUUAACUAUCACAAACUUUGUGCUUUUUAGAUAUUGAUAUAUUAUCUCUUCUAGAGCUUUCAAUUAACUUUUUACUAUCAAAUAUUGGAAUAUAUUUGUUUAUUUCAGCACCAAAUAAGAUAAAUAUUUUCUAUCUGUAAUGAUAAAAUUUAUUACUAGAUUCUCAUAUCCUUCCUUAAAGGAUAUUAUCAGAGACAAAAUAUUUGGGCAUGCACCACAUAUGUGACCAGUAAUCUCCAUAUCACAUUGGUAACAUAAGUUAUAUUUACCAUUUGAAAAUUUAUCUUGAGAACUCUCAUUGUUCUCUUAUUUAUUACUAUGUUCCUACUUUUAGUGGUCCAUGAGUAUAUCCUUUAUUUUCUUUAUGUUUACAUUCUCUUCGGGGAAUGCAACAAAUCUAGUAGGAUGGACUUAUAAACAUCCCAAUAGAUUCUUUAUUUCAUAAUCACCAUCGCAAACAUGCGUGAGAUUUAAAUCAAAAUUUAUCUAUUCAUAUUGUCAUGAUUAGUCUCCAAUUAUAAUAAACAUGAUAUAAUACAUAAAACAUAAUAAAAUAUACCUGAAGAUCUUUAACAUCAUCGUCAUCAUAUUGACUAUUAUCACGAGCACUAUUACAAGUAGUAAAACAACUUUGUUUUCGUAAUAACAUUUACAAUCUAAUAGUAAAAAUUAUUUAAUAAAUAAUCAAAAUUUGUGUAUCAAAAUUUUCAUGUACGAUGCUUGAAAAUUAUCUGAUACACAUUGUAUCAAAUUUCAAUACCACAUAUAUGUUAUAAAAUCUUAUCUUGCUCUAAUAAAAUAUUUAUAAGUUCAAUUUAAAAGAUAUCAUACAAUUAUUCAAUAUUAGAAAGCUAAUAAGACUAAAUAGAUCCUAUCAAAUUUCCUUUUAUUCAACAAUGGUAGGUUAUUUAGACUUUCCACCAUAAUUUUAAUAAAAUUUCAAGAAUAAAUAACAAGAAAAAAAAUUUAAAACACAAAAAUAUUAUGCAUAAUAUAAUUUAAUUAAAAAAACUUUAAAAAUAGAAAAAAGAACAUACCAUAUUAAUAGUAAACAUAUCUAAUCAAUAAUUAUGUCUUUUAAAUAAAAAAGCAAAAAUCAAAUACUAUCAGAAUGUGAAAUUUAUGUCAAAUAAAAAUUAAUAGUACUUAUACCUUAAUUGAAAAAGAAAAUAUGGCCGAAAUAUAAAAGUUUCUUACCAAAUCUAUACUUUACCCAUACUUGUACAAUAAAUCAAAGAUCAAAAAUAAGAAUCACAAUCCAUUCUGAGAUUGAAUCUUUCAACAUCCUGAAAAUGAAGUUGUAAGGGAGAGUUUAAGGUGAAAAGGAAUUUGAUUUGUGGGACGACUUCGAAAGAUUUUGAAAAAAAAAGAAAAUCAUCGUGUUGAUAACGUGUUAUAAAAUAAAGAGAGAUGGAGAGAAUAAAAAAUAAAGAAAACAUGAAAACAAUAAAAAAAAUAUACUUUAUUGAUCAAAGAGAUUAUUACAAUGUUUUAUCAGAUUUUAUUUAUAAGCAUAAGAAGAAUAAAAAAGAUAGAGAUCUAAUUCUAAUAACUAUUAAAAUUUAAAAUACAUAAAAAUUUUAUCUUAAGCAUGAUCAACAUCCACUUAACUUAAUAAGAUAUUUAUAAUAAUUUUUAAAUUCUAUAGGCGAAUUAUUAAGUAACGGGACAAGUAGGUGGUGAAAUUAAUAAAAAAAAAAUUCUGAAUUAUUUUUGUAAAAAAGCGGCAAAACCCAGAUUACCACAACAGAUGCAAAAUCUGAUCGGUGAAGUUAAGAAAAUGGAGACCAUGGGAAAUCUUCUAAUCCUUUUUCCAGCUUCUUUAUGCCUCUUCCUUUUCGUUGCUUUGCUCAAUGUUUUCUACAAGUAUUGGUGGAUACCUCAUCGUGUACAGUUCAUCAUGAAUUCACAAGGAAUCAGAGGACCUCCUUAUGAAUUUAUCCAUGGAAACAACAAAGAAGCUGCCCAAAUGCUCAUGGAAGCAUCUACCAAACCUAUGGCCUUGACACAAGAUAUAUUUCCCGAGUCAUGCCUCAUGUUUACUCCUGGAUCAACAAAUACGGUGAGAAUAUGUUUUUUUUUUCUCUUUUUGGGGUUGCAUUUUCUGAUUAACCUCCACUUUUCAAGAAAAGAAAUCAUUUUCUUUCAGGGAGGACUUAUCUUAGCUGGAAUGGAAUUCGAGCUCUACUGCUAAUUACAGACCCAGAUCUGGUGAACGAGGUCCUUAAAAACAGUGAAAAGGCUUUUCCAAAGCCGAAGGCUUCAUAUUUCUUCGACAAGCUACUAGGCGACGGUCUUGGUUCAACCGAAAGUGAGAAAUGGGCAAGGCUAAGGAAACUGGCCCAUUAUGCCUUUCAUGGGGAGAGCUUAAAAGUAAAUCAUCGCCACAUUCUACUCUAAUUAUUGUAGUGGAACAUCUACAAACUUGAUACUUUUUUUCAGAAUAUGAUUCCAGCAGUAGUUGCUAGCGUUGAAACCAUGCUUGAGAAAUGGAAAAGUAAGGAGGGCAAAGAGAUAGAAGUGUUCCAAGAGUUCAGAUUAUUGACUUCAGAAGUGAUAUCCAGAACCGCCUUUGGUAGCAGUUACUUGGAAGGGGAGAAGAUUUUUGACAUGUUGAUGAAGUUGACAGUAAUUGCAGGCAGAAAUAUUUAUAAAGCAGAGAUUCUCAUCAUCAGGUAACUUCAUCAAAUCUUUACUUUGUUAAUCAGCAUACUUCAGCUGCCAAUGGGUUGAUUUAACCUGGUUUUCCUUUUCAGCAAGUUUUGGAAAUCUGCUGAUGAAAUUGAAUCAGAUAAAAUUGCCAAAAUGAUACAUGAUUCUGUGAUGAAGAUUGUUAAAAAAAGGGAAGCCAAAGUAGUGACCGGAGAAGCUGAUAACUUCGGUCGUGAUUUUCUGGGAUUUCUGCUUAUCAUGAGGCGGACGAGAAAAAUAGGCUUUCGAUACAAGAUUUGGUAGAUGAGUGUAAAACUUUCUAUUUUUCUGGGCAAGAAACAGUCAAUUCCUUGCUUGCAUGGGCAACCCUGCUUUUAGCAAUACACACCGAUUGGCAAGAUAAAGCAAGAGCAGAGGUGAUUGAGGUCUUUGAUAAUCAAAACCCAGAUUCUGAAGGGAUGGCCAAAUUAAAGACGGUAAGCAAACUAUACAAAUUCAAUAGCUUGAAAACUAACAGUGAACAUUUAUAUUGCCCUUUGGAUUUCUUUUUCUCCAACAGAUUACCAUGAUUAUCAAUGAAACUUUACGGCUCUAUCCUCCUAUAAGUGGCAUGAUAAGAAAAGUAGGAAGAGAAGUCCGAUUAGGAACACUUGUCCUGCCUACUCAUUCACGGGUCGACAUGCGAAUCAUAGCACUUCACCAUGAUCCUGACUUAUGGGGAGAUGAUGUUGAUCUUUUCAAACCAGAGAGGUUUGCUGAGGGUUAGCCGAAGCUACUAAGUACAAUGCAGCUGCAUUUAUGCCCUUUGGAUUGGGACCUCGAUGUUGCGUAGGCAUGAGCUUUACAAUCAUUCAAGCGAAAAUUGCACUUUCCAUGAUUCUGCAACGCUACACUAUCAACCUCUCCCCUAGCUAUGUUCAUGCACCUUUACAACGUCUUACACUCAGGCCACAACAUGGGAUUCAGUUGUUGUUUCAUUCACUACGUUAUGAUGCUUAAAAUUCUAGGCUGUUGGUCUCCAAUAUAGUAAUAUAUAAUAAAAUGUGGGUAAUACUGUAUUUUGCAACCAUAUGAUGAUAUAUGGUUUUGGGAUUUCAUGUUUUGUUGAUAUUGUUAAAGGUUAAAAAGGUAUUACAGCAAACGUCGCCACCACAGGAGCAGGCCCUACAGUCCUGUACAUAACAUAAUCAACAACAAAAUAGUCCACCAAAGAGAAAUCAAUUCAAACUACCCCAAAAAGCUGGAACGGCAGCGGCAAAUCCAGUCAGCUCCCUGAACAUUAUACAGCAACACAGGAACAAGAACAUCACAACCCAGUCAUAUACAUGCCAUGAAGACAUUGGACUCCACAUUUUGCUAAAGUAUCAGCAAAGCAGUUAGAUUCUCUAUACACAUUCACAAAGGAGACAUUAUGGGAUCUCAUCACACAGCUUGGAAUAUGACCCAUCCAGCAUUUGAGAAACGGUGAAGAUGUCAAGUCCAGGAGCUCCAAACAAUGCCUCAGCCGGUGGACCCUAUAAUUAGGUGUCUUUCUUCCAUUACUACUGCAGUAGUGAAGUUUUUAUUGCACUUGGUUCCCUUCUUCCAGAGUUUCUGCUUGAAGCACUCACUCCUGGAGCCGGCCAUUGCUUGUUUUCAUUUUUAAUUUUUUAAUAUAAUAUAUUACAAAAUAUGAAUGGUCGUUAAAAUUUAUUGCUAAAUGUUGUAUUACCAUUGCUAAAAUUUUAUUUUAACAAAAAAAAUCGUUGUGAGUUCAUCAUGUAUACCUCCUUUGUAUAAAAUAUGCACAGAAAUUGAAAAGUCGUUUUUAAUUAUAUAUAUUGUAACAUCUUUUUUCGUUUUAAAAUAUAUUUUUUUUCUUAGCGAUAUAAUUUGUUUAUCUAAUAGUGUUUUAGUUAUAAUAAAAUUUGUUACAAUAUCUUUAACACAAUGAUAAUAUUUACAAAUACUAUUACGUAACAAUAGUAUAUUGGUUGCAAAAUAAAAUUUGCAAUAAUGUAAAAUUAAAUUGCUAAGCUUUUUACGUAACAAUAAUAAUAUUGAUUACCAAAUAUUAUUUUGUAAGGAUAUUUUAUUUGGUUGUGUAUUACAUUGUGCAAUGAUUAUAUUUCAUUGCCAAAAAAAUAUUUUAGCAACCAUUAAACGUGGUUGUCAAAUCAAUUACGUAACAAUAAUACUAUUGGUUGUUAAAUAUUAUUCUGCAAUGAUGUUUUAAUUGGUUGUGUACUAAUUGUGCAACAACUGUAAAAAUUUAUUUAAACAACCAUAAAAUGUGGUUGCCAAAUAGUUUGCGCAACAACAACAACAAUAAUAUAGUUGCUAAUGCAUUUACAUAACAAUUUUUACUUAGUUAUGAAAUAUUAAUUUACAAUGACAUAAUAUUUGGUCACGUCUUAUAUUACACGAUAUUUAAAUAUUGUGCAAAGUUAAUUUUAACAACCAUAAUAUUUUGUUGCAAUAUUUUUAUAUGUAACCAUAUUAUAAUGUUCGUUGAAAUUUAUUUUGCACCAAAACGUUAUCUAAUUGAUAAUAAAAAGAAGUAAUUACAAAUAUUAAAGAAAUUAGUUAUUUGUUUAAAAACAAUAUUACCAAAAUUUUAAGCUCGUUUGUUAGAGUCCAGCCUAAAAAUGGGCCUAAAUUUUUUUCAAGUCCAACCCAGAUAAAAAUGUCAAACCCGGUCCAACCUCGUCUUCUCGAAUGAGGGUUAGCAAAAUUCGAUUUAAUUCAAAAAAUUUAAUAAAAUAUUCAAAUUUUAAAUUAAAUAGUUCGAGUUAUUAAUGUUAAUCGAUUUAUUUGGAUUAACUCGAAUAAAAAAAAUUAAAAUUUUCAGUUUAACUCGAAUAUGAAUUACAUAAUUCGGGUUAUCUGAAAAUCUGAAUAAAAAAAUAUAAAACUACGUUGUUUUGAUAAAUAUUUAGAUUUUCUAAAGUUGAAGCCAAAACCAUUAAGUUAAAAACAAAACAAUUAUAUUGUUUAUGUAGUUAUAUAAUCUUGUAUUUCGUCUACUAGUUAAAUAAGCGGCCCAUGUAAAUGCAACAUUGAGUAUAAAUAAUAGGAUUUGUUAACUCUAAUUGACUUGACUCAAAAUUUUUUGACUCUAUUCGAUUCGAAAAAUUUUCAAAUUGAGUUCGGUUAAUAGGAUUCGUCAACUCGACUAACUCAAAAUUUUUUUACUCGAUCUAAUAUUCACCCCUAUUUCUAAACUAUAACAGUUAAUGGAAACUUGUUAAGUCAUAAAAAAUUCAAGUAAAUGUUUUAAACUUGAGUUUUAUGAAUACAAAAAAUAAUUUUAAAAGCUAUUUUAAAUUAUAAAAUUUAUUUGGUAUAAAUUAAAAUUAAAUACAAAAUAUAAUUAGAUUGUUUGAUAAAAUAUAAUUUUUUAAGAAUUUAAAGGUGGGGUAUUUGAAGGAUUUAAAAGAGAUAAAAUAAGAAUAAUUGAAACAAAUUCUACAUUAAGUUAUUUAUCUACUUUUCAUUUUCCACAUCUUUUCGUAGAAAAAUCCAAUCAUUUGUCUUUUAUUAUGAAUCAUCAAACUUGCUUAAAAACAUAAAUUAUUAGUUGAUUUAUUUUGUUUUCAAUUCAUUAUCAAACAAGCCCUUAGUUAAUGUUCUCCAAGUUCAAGUGCCAUUUAUGUCAAAAAAAAGUUUAAGUAAUAGUAACAUAAACAUUCAUUUAAUUAUAACAAUAAAGUUAAAGCCAUGAAUAUUUUCAAAAAAAUUCAAUUAAGUCCUUGAAUGUUAAAAUUUCAAUCAAUUAAGCUCUUUGAUAGUUAAAGUUAACAGUUAAUUGUUGUAGUUAAAAUUUCAAUCAAUUAAGGCACGGUGUAGCGUUUGUUUACCUCAUCCUUUAACCAUGUGGUUGAGGGUUCAAUCCCCACGUAUGGGAAUAAAGCACAUUUCAUGCUCAAUUAUUUACCUAUUUGGAGAGCACUCAUAGUGAGGAGAUUAAACCUUGUUAUUGCUGGUGAAUACCCUAAUUAUGACAAAUAAAAAAUAACAACUACCAUUUUUUUUGGAUUAUUUUUGUCAAGUGGUGAAAAUUAUUUUAAUUUUUAUUAAAAAUCAUAUAAAAAGUAUAAAAAUUAUACAAGAAUUAUAAAAAUGCAUAAAUUAGAAAAAAUAUAUAUAAAAAAAUCUAUUGUGAAAACAUAAAAUUAUAGAAAUAUAAUUGCUCCCCCAAAUUCCAUGUUUCCUCUAACUCGUCUAACUGGAUUCUCCCUUAGAAUCAACUUAUUUGGAUUGUGAAAAUCUCCAUCCGAUAUUGAGCAAUUUGCACAAAUGUUGGUAACAUUUUAUAAAAUUAUUUUUUUUGUAAAAAAAAAAGUGAAAAGAAAAUCCAAUUAUAUGGAAUUGGUUUAUUCUCUAUGCAUGUGGAUCACCAUUUGAACAAGCAUAGACGACAAGGUGGACUCGUGAAAAGAAAACAUUUGUUGCAUCAUUGUUGUUUCCAUAUUCUCGCCUACCCAAAGCAGAAAUAAAGGGUGAAUUUGGCAUAUUAGCACCAUUUCUACCUCCUUUCUCCCUCUAUAUAAACCUCUUCCCACCCAAGCUGCCAUUGCCAAAACCCAUCAACUUCACCUCUAUUCUUCUUACUUGAGACCUAUAUUUAGUCUUGAAAUUUGACUCUGAAAAUGGGUUUCGCAUUUGCAUAUCGACUUAUCUUAGUCGUGGCAGUUGCUUCCGUGUUGGGAAUAAGCCUGGCAAAUAAAGACUGGGGCUCCCCUAAUUCCAACUACACUGGUUGGGGUUGGGGCUGGGGCUGGGGCUCCUCGAAGUCUAACCACACUGGUCAAGGCUUUAAUAACCAUCCCGUGAAUGAAACUCAAGGACCCAAAAAGAUAAUUGUUGGUGGAUCAGAAAACUGGCAUUUCGGCUUCAACUACUCCGAUUGGGCAUUCAACAAUGCACCCUUUUACUUCAACGAUACUCUAGGUGAGUCCAUAAUAUUACAUUUUACAAACCAAAGAAAUGGGAAGCUACCUUGUUUUUAUAUUUAUUUGCUGAAAUAAAUGAUGUUUUGAAUUGGUUUGCGUAGUGUUCAAGUACGAUCCACCAAGCAACACCACAUUCCCUCACAGCGUUUACUUGUUUCCCGACCGAUGGAGCUACUUGAAUUGCGACUUAAAGAGAGCGAAGAUGGUGGCAAAUGCAACCCAAGGCGGUGGCGAUGGGUUCGAGUUUGUGCUCAAGAGGUGGACACCCUAUUACUUUGCUUGUGGUGAACGUAAUGGCUUCCAUUGUAAGGUCGGCAGCAUGAGGUUCAUGGUGAUGCCACUCUUUCGUUGGCAUUACUAGAAUACUUGGGAGAUGAUCACAAAUUAAGGAAUAUCGACAUCCAAUAUAACAAAGAUAUUUAGACUUCGAUGACAAAAUUAAUGUGUAAUCGUUUCUUAAAAUGAUGAAUAAUUUAACUGUCAUCUUAUUAUUUAUUUUAUCAAUAAUUUCGUUACAGGUUUUUUUUUUUACACAAUGUUUAGAAUUAUCUAUAGUCUCUUUCUAACCUAUAAAUAGGAAAGUAAUGCGCUUUAACACACUCGAAUUCACAUCCUCCUGCAUUGACAACAAUAUCCAUGCCAAUUGAAUUAAAACUCAAUCGACUUCUUAAUUUAUUUCAAAAGAAAAAAAUACAUCUUUAAUUUGGACCUUUACUUAGUUAACUAAUUUAAAAGACAUUAAAUCUUCUUUAAUUCUACAGUGAUCUGUAAGUUUGAACAUCCAUUUGCCAUGUUAAUGUUAAGUGAUAUAUAUACGGGGCUUAUAGGGAUAGAAAGCCUUUAAGAAAGAAAAUUUUAUGCCCUUCAACUUAAUUCACACUCAAUUAAGUUGUUAUCCUUAAUUCACACUCAAUUAAGUUGUUAUCAUUAAUCCAAAAAAUUAAUUAAGUCCCUUAAUUGUUGAUUUUCAUCUUUGAUCCCGUUGAUGAUUAAAAUUAGCUAAUCGGAUGGCGGUAUUUACCUAAUUCAUAUUUAAUUUUUUAUUUUUCUAAUAAAAAUUAUUAAAAAUUAUAAAUACAAUGUCAAAUUUACCCUCAAUGUUUGCAUUUUUAUUAAUUUAGUCCUUAUUUUGUUUAAACUAAAUUUAAUCAUUAAUCUUUCAAAAAGAGUUAAAUCGCUCUUUUUUUAAUGAAGAUGUUGACUAAAACACUGAUUUUUUAAUGAUGGUGCGACAACCCGCGUUAUAUUUUGUACUUCAUAUUGACAUGACAUUAUUUGCCUUUUAUAUUACGUCAAUAAAUGAUUUAAAAUUUAUAAAAAUAUUAAACAAAACUCAAAAUUUAAGAAAUUAUAAAAAAAUCAUAAAAAAAAAUAAGAAAAAUAGUAUGAAAUACAUUUAGAUUGCCACGUAAGCUAUUAUGUUUAAAAUUUUAACAUUUUAAUUAGUAUUUUCAUUAUUUUUGUUAAAAAAAUAACAACUCCAUUCUUUUCGAAAAGUUGAUUAAAUUCGUUUUUUUUUAAAGGUGAAAUUUAACUUGCAAUUGGAGAAGGAGGAGUCGCUAUAUAAGCCAAGGUGAAGGUGCAACAAAGGGUAUUGGGUUCAUGCAAUGCAUUGGGUUAAAAAAAUGUUUUUUCCGAGUUUUUAUAAUUUUGUAUGAUUUUUCUUAUAAUUUUUUUUAUUUUUAUAAAAAAAAUAAAAGAUUAAAUCUGAAGUUACCAUUUAUCUAGGUUGAUUUUAAUAAUCAACAAAAUCAAUAACGGAAGAGUUAACAGUAAAAUUUGAAUGGUUGCAAGGGGCUUAAUUAUAUUUUUAAUUAUUUUUGGUUUAAGAGCUUUUUAGAGGGAUGAGUGGGAAUUUCUAUUUAUUCAAUCAAAGUAGAGUACAAACAUGGCAUAAUGAAGUCCCAAAGCAUUAGAAAGUGCAAGAUCGUGGAACCUAAAAGUUACUAUUCCUGGCUUAUAGUUGAAUGUUUUCGAAGCCAAAGUUUGAAAAUGAAAAUGACAAUCAACAGGUAAAGCUGUCAUUAUUACAUCACAUAAACGUAUGACUAACUAUGUCCUGUCAACCCCAGAUCAAAGUAUGGCACUUUUCACAUUUUGUUAUGGUAGUGGAGAAGACGUAACACAAUCCAAGAACUAAAACUGAACUGAAUGAUCAAAGGCAAUUUACAAAAUUCCCCACCUACCACCAUUAGCCAACGGCGGCACCUCGGCUCACCCACCAUCACAAUCAUAUGAUUUUUCACACUGCUUCUAAACUUUAACUGUUAAUGGAAACACAAGGAAAUGGUAAACACAGUUCAAUGCUCUCUGACCAAUAACUUUUAAAACCCAAGAAAAACCAACGCCAACCCAUAUAAUUCCCAAACCCAAGCAAAAUCAACAUUUAAAAUGGGUUUAGUUUCAGAAUCUUUUAAGGCAGUUUGGAGUUUGGUAUCAAUAUGAGAAAAAAAAAACAAAGAUUUAAGUAUCAAUGUGGAAAACAGGUAUAAUUUGAAGGCUAAAAUGAGAAUAAAGCCAAAUAUUUGCCAUAUCAUUGCUGUUUCCAUUUUCUCGCCUACCCAAAGCAGAAAAAAAGGUCAAUUUGGCACAUUUGCACCAUUUUCCACCUCCUUUCUCCCCUUUAUAUAAACCUCUUCCCCAACAUGCCAUUGCCAAAAACCAUCAACUUCAACUCCAUUUUCUUUUAGCUGAAUCUUAUAUUGAGUCUUGAAAUUUGACUCUGAAAAUGGGUUUCACGUUUGCAUAUCGACUUAUCCUAGUUGUGGCAACUGCUUCCGUGUUGGGAGUAAGCCUGGCUAAUAAGGACUGGGGCUCCCCUAACUCCAACUACACUGGCUGGGGUUGGGGUUGGGGCUCCUCUAAGUCUAACCACACUGGUCAAGGCUUUAAUAACCAUCCCUUGAAUGAAACUCAAGGAUCCAAAAAGAUCAUUGUUGGUGGAUCAGAAAACUGGCAUUUUGGCUUCAGCUACUCCAAUUGGGCAUUCAACAAUGCACCCUUUUACUUCAACGAUACUCUAGGUGAGUCCUUAAUAUUACAUUUUACAAACCAAAGAAAUGGGAAGCUACCUUGUUUUUAUAUUUAUUUGUUGAAAUAAAUGGUGUUUUGAAUUGGUUUGCAUACGUAGUGUUCAAGUACGAUCCACCAAGCAAUACCACAUUCCCUCACAGCGUUUACUUGUUUCCCGACCGAUGGAGCUACUUGAAUUGCGACUUAAAGAGAGCAAAGAUGGUGGCAAACACAACCGAAGGCGGUGGCGAUGGGUUCGAGUUUGUGCUGAAGAGGUGGACACCCUAUUACUUUGCUUGUGGUGAGCGUAAUGGCUUCCAUUGUAAGGUCGGCAGCAUGAGGUUCAUGGUGAUGCCACUCUUUCGUUGGCAUUACUAAAAUCUUGGAGAUUAUCUCAGAGAAAGAUCGACAUCCAACAUAACUCACAUAUAUAUAGAGUUUUAUUUCACUUUGUUGACAAAAUUAAUGUGUGAUUGUUUCUUAAUAUGGUUGAGAAGCUACUAGUUUGGUUUAUUUUAUGUUGUAAUGAUGCAAAAUAAGCCGUGUUAUAAUUGCACUUAAAGUUUAUAUUGAUGAACAAAUUAACCUUUCUUAAUUUGUUUCAAAGAAAGAAGUUUAAUGAGGGCAAUCUCUUUAAUUUUAUACUUUACUCAUUUAAAGUAUUAGAUACUUUUAAAUCUGCAAUAUUUAGAAAUUUGUUUAAUAUCAUAUAUUAUUAGAGUUAAUACAUUAAUAAUCAAAUAUUUAAGUUUUUAUAGGUGAAUGAAUCACAAGUAAAGUGACAAAAGAUCUGCAUUCAAAUAAUCAAUUAACACCAAUCUCGAGUUCAAUCUUGAACAACAUUAACCCUUACAGAAAAAGAUUUUGGAUACCAGCAUGGAAUUGAUCACUCAUUGACAUACAGGGGCAUAGCAAAAGGGGCGGGAGGGGCCUUGGCCCCCUUUGACUGGAUGGAUUAUUUGUUAUUUUAGUACUUUCUAAAUGUAAAUGGUUCAAUUUUUUAGCUUGUUUUAAAUAAAAGAAAUUUAAUUAUAGCCCUUUCAAAGUUUAAAAAAUACAAUUUAAAUCAUUUUAAUGCAAAUUUUUUAACUUUGACCCCAAUUUUUUUUUAGUUUUAUUUUUACUCCCAUCACAUAAUUCUUAGCCCCCAUUGGUAUGCUCAUGGAUAAAGGCAUACGACAGGGGCGAAGUUAGAAAAAUCUUUUAAAGGAGUAGAAAUUAAAUUGUAAUUUUUACGAUAGUAAAAAUGUAAUUUCACCAUUUUAAUAGCUUAUAUCUUUAUAAUUUUUAAAGAAUUAAAUCAAAUUUUUUUCAUUUAGAGAGAUUAAAAUAUAAUUUUAACUUUACUAAUUUAAAAAUUAUUUUUAGAAGUGAGGUACCCUUCCAUUAGCAUAUUAUACACUCCUUCGCAAAGAACUUGAUAGUGGCGAAGUUAAAGUGUUAAGGGUGUAGAAAAAGGCCUUGUCUGUUUUGAUUAAAUGAAAAAGAAUUUCCUUUAAAUCCUCUCAAAAUAGAAAUCAUUUAACUUAAUCCUUUUAGCUCUUGAAUGAAAUAAAAUAUUACAAAUUAGAGACUAGGCUACGGUUUAUUGAGGAAAAAGAGAAAGACAAUCAAUCGAGUUACCUCCUAUGACCAAGUUACCUCCGCUCCAAACGAGUUGAAUUCGACUCCAUAACAGACGGGGGACGUCUGAUUUCACCAAUCACUAUAGAACCUUCCAGAAUAUAAAGACUGACGGUUCUUUUACCUUUUAACAAAACGAGAGCUCCACGAGAUACUUUAAUGUCGGUCGACUCGAUGUUGAUUCUGCAUCCUUUCAAGUCUGAAAAACUCAAAGAGAUGAGAUUCUUUCGUAAAUUAGGUACAUACCUGACAUCUGAGAGUGUCCUAAUCAUCCCGUCGUGUAUCAUAAUUUUAACAGUACCAAUACCAAUUACCUUACUAGAUGAAUCGUUUCUUAUGCGCACAACUCCACCUUUAACCGAACUGUAUGUGGAGAACCAUUCUCUAUUGGGACACAUGUGGAAAGAACAUCUCGAAUCUAGGAUCCACUCGGACGUGAGCUUGGAGUUAUCGCUCAUUGACACUAAUAAGAAAUCAUCACUGCUUUCAUCGGCCAAAUUAGCACUAGCUACAUCUUCCUCGUUACUCUCAGCAGGUCUUUUAUUUUACAGUUUAUAACAAUUUGCUUUAACGUGACCUAACUUUUUACAAUAGCGACACCUUUUGUCUCGUUUCUUUGAUGCUAUCAAAAUGGAAGCUUGCCUAUCUGCCUUACUAUCCAAACCAAACUCAUUGUCGAGUUUGUCUCUACUCAACAAAUGACCCUUCACAUAUUGGAACGAGAGUUUGUCUCUGCCAUAAAUCAAGAUCUCCCUCAAAGACUUGUAUGAAUGAGUAAAGAGCACAAUAAUAGCAUAGUCUGAUCUUCAUCGUCAAUAUGAACCUCAAUGUUCUUUAAAUCAUUUAAAAGAGUAAUGAAUUGACUGAUGUGAUCUCUAAGAAGUUCACCUUCGUUCAUGCGAAACGUAAAUAGACGUUGUUUCAACACUAAACGGUUAGCCAGAGACUUAGUCGCAUAAAGAGUUUCUAACCUUUUCCACAAGGCAGAUGAGGUCUUCUCCAUCAACACAUCUUGCAAUACCGUAUUUGUGAGGCACAACUGGAUUGCAGAUAAGGCCUUUUCAUCAAGCUCUUCCCAUUCUGUUUGAUUUAGAUUCUCAGGCUUUUUUCCGAUAACAACCUUUUUCAAGCCGGUUUGAACUAGAAUUGCCAUCAUCCGAACUUGCCACAGAUUGAAAUUUGUCUCACCAUCGAACUUUUCAAUUUCAAACCUUAUUGCUACCAUCUCUGAAUGAGCUGAUUUAUGAAAAUUAAAUUAGCUCUGAUAUCACUUGUUAGGAUCGAUCCGAUUAAGUAACAAGUAAAAAAAUAACGGAAUAAAUUGAGAAAUUGAACACACAAAUUUAACGUGAAAAAACCUCUCCAAAAGGAUAAAAAAAUCACGGGCAAAGAUAAUUUUAUUAUAAUGGCAAAAGAACAAAAAGUACAAAAGAUGAAGAUAAAAACUAAACUCCAAAAACCCAAAAACAAAGAACCCUUAAAACGUAAAUACAAAAUUCUCUAAAUAUAUUAUGAGUUCUAAUCUCUAAUGGGUGUAUUUUUUAAGGUUGUAAAAGAGCCUAUUUAUAAGCUAAAUUAAUAGGUCAAAUAAUAAUAAAAUAAUCUCGCCUAAUUAGAGUUUGAUUGAAACAAAUAAACAGAGUUUAACUGAAAGAUUAUUUCUCAAAUUUGACUGAAAUAGGAGUCAUACUCAACACUAAGAAACUGGCCCAUUAUGCCUUUCUUGGGCAGAGCUUAAAAGUAAAUCAUCGCCACCUUCUACUCUAAUUAUUGUAGUGGAACAUUUACAAACUUAUACUUUUUUGCAGAAUAUGAUUCCAGCAGUAGUUGCUAGCAUUGAAACCAUGCUUGAGAAAUGGAAAAGUAAGGACGGCAAAAAGAUAGAAGUGUUCCAAGAGUUCAGAUUAUUGACUUCAGAAGUGAUAUCCAGAACCGCCUUUGGUAGCAGUUACUUGGAAGGGGAGAAGAUUAUUGACAUGUUGAUGAAGUUGACAGUAAUUGCAGGCAGAAAUAUUUAUAAAGCAGAGAUUCCCAUCAUCAGGUAACGUCAUCAAAUCUUUACUUUGCUAAUCAACAUACUUCAGCCGCCAAUGGGUUGAUUUAAUCUGGUUUUCCUUUUCAGCAAGUUUUGGAAAUCUGCUGAUGAAAUUGAAUCAGAUAAAAUUGCCAAAAUGAUACAUGAUUCUGUUAUAAAGAUUGUUAAAAAAAGGGAAGACAAAGUAGUCACUGGAGAAGCUGAUAACAUCGGUCGUGAUUUUCUGGGAUUACUUGUAAAUGCUUAUCAUGAGGCGGACCAGAAAAAUAGGCUUUCGAUACAAGAUUUGGUAGAUGAGUGUAAAACUUUCUAUUUUGCUGGGCAAGAAACAGUCAAUUCCUUGCUUGCAUGGGCAACCCUGCUUUUAGCAAUACACACCGAUUGGCAAGAUAAAGCAAGAGCAGAGGUGAUUGAGGUCUUUGAUAAUCAAAACCCAGAUUCUGAAGGGAUGGCCAAAUUAAAGACGGUAAGCAAACUAUACAAAUUCAAUAGCUUGAAAACUAACAGUGAACAUUUAUAUUGCCUUUUGGAUUUCUUUUUCUCCAACAGAUUACCAUGAUUAUCAAUGAAACUUUACGGCUCUAUCCUCCUAUAAGUGGCGUGAUAAGAAAAGUAGGAAGAGAAGUCCGAUCAGGAACACUUGUCCUGCCUAUUCAUUCAGAGGUCGACAUGCGAAUCAUAGCACUUCACCAUGAUCCUGACUUAUGGGGAGAUGAUGUUGAUCUUUUCAAACCAGAGAGGUUUGCUGACGGCUGAAACUACUAAGUACAAUGCAGCUGCAUUUAUGCCCUUCGGAUUGGGACCUCGAUCUUGCGUAGGCAUGAGCUUUACAAUCAUUCAAGCGAAAAUUGCACUUUCCAUGAUUCUGCAACGCUACACUAUCAAUCUCUCCCCUAGCUAUGUUCAUGCACCUUUACAACGUCUUACACUCAGGCCACAACAUGGGAUUCAGGCCACAACUUUUUUUUUGUUUUAAAAUAUAAUUUCUUUCCUAACGAUAUAAUUUGUUUAUCUAAAAGUGUUUUAGCUAUAAUAAAAUUUGUUACAAUAUCUUUAACACAAUGGUAAUAGUUACAAAUACUAUUACGCAACCAUAGUAUAUUGGUUGCAAAAUAAAAUUUGCAACAAUGUAAAAUUAAAUUUGCUAAGUUUUUUACGUAACAAUAAUAAUAUUGAUUACUAAAUAUUAUUUUGUAAGGAUAUUUUAUUUAGUUGUGUAUUACAUUGUGCAAUGAUUAUAUUUCAUUGUCAAAAAAAUAUUUUAACAACCAUUAAACGUGGUUAUCAAAUCAUUUACGUAACAAUAAUACUAUUUGUUGCUGAAUAUUAUUUUGCAAUAAUGUUUUAAUUGGUUGUGUACUAAUUACGCAACAACUAUAAAAAUUUAUAAAUUGAGUUCGGUUGUUAAAAUAGGAUUCGUUAACUCGACUAAUUCAAAUUUUUUUUACUCGAUCGAAUAUUCACCACUAUUUCUAAACUAUAAUAAUGGAAACUCGUUAAGUCAUAAAAAAUUCAAGUAAAUGUUUUAAACUUGAGUUUUAUGAAUACAAAAAAUAAUUUUAAAAGCUAUUUUAAAUUAUAAAAUUUAUUUGGUAUAAAUUAAAAUUAAAUACAAAAUAUAAUUAGAUUGUUUGAUAAAAUAUAAUAUUUUAAAAAUUUAAAGGUGGGGUAUUUGAAGAAUUUAAAAGAGAUAAAAUAAAAAUAAUUGAAACAAAUUCUACAUUAAGAUAUAAAUAGUUAUUUAUCUACUUUUCAGUUUCCAUAUCUUUUCGUAGAAAAAUCCAAUCAUUUGUUUUUUAUUAUGAAUCAUCAAACUUGCUUAAAAACAUAAAUUAUUAGUUGAUUUAAUUUUUUUUAAUUGAUUAUCAAACAAGCCCUUGAUUCAAGUGCCAUUUAUGUCAAAAAAGUUUUAAGUAAUAGUAACAUAAACAUUCAUUUUAUAACAAUAAAGUUAAAGCCACGAAUAUUUUCAAAAAAAUUCAAUUAAGCCCUUGAAUGUUAAAAUUUCAAUCAAUUAAGCUCUUUGAUAGUUAAAGUUAACAGUUAAUUGUUAUAGUUAAAAUUUCAAUCAAUUAAGGCACGGUGUAGCGUUUGUUUACCUCAUCCUUUAACCUUGUGGUUGAGGGUUCGGUCCCUACUUAUGGAAAUGAAGCACAUUUCAUAGUCAGUCAUUUACCUAUUUGGAGAGCACUUAUAGUGAGGAGAUUAACUACUGUUGUUGUUGGUGGAUACCCUGAUUAUGACAAAUAAAAAAUAACAACUGUCUUUUUUUUUGGAUUAUUUUUGCCAAGUGCCAUGCUAAGAUUGUGCCACGUGGUAUGAAAUUAGAAAAAUCAUAUAAAAAUUAUAAAAGAAUUAUAAAAAUGAAUAAAAUUAGAAAAAAAUAUAUAAAAAAUCUAUUUUUAAAAGGUUAAUAAAUUUUAUAUUUUAUUAUUUUUAAAAGGAUAAUAAAUUUUUAAAAGGUUUUUUUUAUUCUUAUAUUUUUAAGGGCGAUUUAAAUUUAAUUUCAAAAUAGGGCAUGCCUAAUAUAUAAAUAGACAUUUAAUUGGUGUCCAAGAGGAAUGGCGUCACUCCUAUUUUUCAUCUAGUUUAAAAAUAAUAAUUACUUCAUCAGGUAUCUGAACAUUUUAUAUAAUUUUUUUUCAGUUCGAUGUCACCAAUAACAACGACGACACCCAAAAUAUAUAUUUUUUAAAACUACCAAUGACAAUGAGUCACCGACAUUUACUGUUUAAAAUGAGUUUCAAAAUAAGUCAUUUUUAUAAAUAAUUAAAAGUUUUGGGUAUUUUUAAUAAAAAAGCCUAAGUUUGAUGAAUGGCGUCAGCCAUUAUGUAGGUCUACUUAAUACGAAAACGACGGCUUGGUUUUGUUGGCCAAAAGGAAAGUACCUUUUGGGUUUUGCUUUGCCCAAAUGCUAGCAAAGUCUUUGCAUGCAUUUGUUUGAUUGGAAAAGUGAGAAAUAGAUGAACAUGGUAAGCACAAAUUCUAGACAUUACCAUAUCACCUAUAAAAUUUAGUUAUCUUUUUAAUUUCUUUUGGUGUAUUAUAAAAAAAAAUUCUAAUAACACGACUUGAAUCAAAUCAUAUCUUAGUCAAGAGAUGGGGUUAUUUUAAUUUUUGUCUAUAAAAAGAAUCUUGUUCAUUGAGGGCCCUAGUAGGAGGUAUUGAAUAAGAACUAGAAGUCAAAUCCUGCACGCUUCCCAUUUCUGUGUAUUGAAUUGGCUGUAAUUUUCAAAGGACAUGAACCUUGAAGAGGGACAAGUGUAGUCUCUUGAUGAUAAAUGUGUUGACUGUCACCUUGCAAAACCCAGAUUACCAUAACAGGUGCAAAAUCUGAUCGGUGAAGAUAAGAAAAUGGAGACCAUGGGAAAUCUUCUAAUCCUGUUUACAGCUUCUUUAUGCCUCUACCUUUUCGUUGCUUUGCUCAAUGUUUUCUACAAGUAUUGCUGGAUACCUCAACGGGUACAGUUCAUCAUGAAUUCACAAGGAAUCAGAGGACCUCCUUAUGAAUUUAUCCAUGGAAACAACAAAGAAGCUGCCCAAAUGCUCAUGGAAGCAUCUACCAAACCUAUGGCCUUGACACACGAUAUAUUUCCCAGAGUCAUGCCUCAUGUUUACUCCUGGAUCAACAAAUACGGUGAGAAUAUGUUUUUUUUUCCUUUCUUGGGUAGUAUUUUCUGAUUAACCUCCACUUUCCAUGAAGAGAAAUCAUUUUCUUUCAGGGAAGACUUAUCUUAGUUGGAAUGGAAUUCGAGCUCAACUGCUAAUUACAGACCCAGAUCUAGUCAAAGAGGUCCUUAAAAACAGUGACAAAGCUUUUCGAAAGCCAAAGGCUUCAUAUUUCUUCGACAAGCUACUAGGCGAUGGGCUUGCUUCAACCGAACGUGAGAAAUGGGCAAGGCAAAGGAAACUGGCCAAUUAUGCCUUUCAUGGGGAGAGCUUAAAAGUAAAUCAUCUCUACCUUCUAAUCUAAUUAUUGUAGUGCGACAUUUACAAACUUGAUAAUUUCUUGCAGAAUAUGACUCCAGCAGUAGUUGCUAGCGUUGAAACCAUGCUUGAGAAAUGGAAAAGUAAGGAGGGCAAAGAGAUAGAAGUGUUCCAAGAGUUCAGAUUAUUGACUUCAGAAGUGAUAUCCAGAACCGCCUUUGGUAGCAGUUACUUGGAAGGGGAGAAGAUUUUUGACAUGCUGAUGAAGUUGUCAGUAAUUGCAGGCAGAAAUAUUUUUAAAGCAAAGAUUCCCAUCAUCAGGUAACUUCAUCAAAUCUUUACUUUGUUAAUCAACAUACUUCAGCUUACAAUGGGUUGAUUUAAUCUGGUUGUCCUUUUCAGCAAGUUUUGGAAACCUGCUGAUGAAAUUGAAUCAGAAAGAAUUGCCAAAAUGAUACAUGAUUCUGUGAUGAGGAUUGUUAAAAAAAGGGAAGAGAGAGUAGUGAACGGAGAAGCUGAUAACUUUGGUCGUGAUUUUCUGGGAUUACUUGUAAAUGCUUAUCAUGAGGCGGACCAGAAAAACAAGCUUUCGAUUCAAGAUAUGGUAGAUGAGUGUAAAACUUUUUAUUUUGCUGGGCAAGAAACAGUCAAUUCCUUGCUUGCAUGGGCAACUCUGCUUUUAGCAAUACACACCGAUUGGCAAGACAAAGCAAGAGCAGAGGUGAUUGAGGUCUUUGGUAAUCAAAACCCAGAUUCUGAAGGGAUGGCUAAAUUAAAGACGGUAAGCAAACUAUACAAAUUCAAUAGCUUGAAAACUAGCACUGACCAUUUAUAUUGCCUUUUGGAUUUUUUUUUUCUCCAACAGAUUACCAUGAUUAUCAAUGAAACUUUACGGCUCUAUCCUCCUAUAAGUGGCGUGACAAGAGAAGUAGGAAGAGAAGUCCAAUUAGGAAAACUUGUCCUGCCUACUCAUUCAGAGGUCGACAUGCGAAUCAUAGCACUUCACCAUGACCCUGACUUAUGGGGAGAUGAUGUUAAUCUUUUCAAACCAGAGAGGUUUGCUGAUGGGAUAGCGAAAGCUACUAAGUACAAUGCAGCUGCAUUUAUGCCUUUUGGAUUGGGAUCUCGAUCUUGCGUUGGCAUGAGCUUUGCAAUCACCGAAGCGAAAACUGCACUUUCCAUGAUUCUGCAACGCUACACUGUCACCGUCUCCCCUACCUAUGUUCACGCUCCUGUACCACGUCUUACACUCAAGCCACAACAUGGGAUGCAGUUGUUGUUUCAUUCACUACAUUAUGAUGCUUAAAAUUCUAGGUUGUUGGUCUCCAAUAUAGUAAU
rnacentral:lncRNA from 1 species